AGAAACUUAAAUCGAGAUUUCUAUAAGUUUAUUGAGUUGUGUAGUCCAGCCAAAAUCAGUUUGUAUAAUUUAUUAUAAUUUUCCAUAUCUUAGUAGCACAAGGGUUUGGCACAUGAAAGUACAUUGUAUCCAUCAUUUCCAUAGCAUUCACCAUUCGCAACAGCACCAUAUGGAACGGUCGCAAUGACUUUUUUCAAAGUUGUAACCACGCCAUUCACAGCUAAGCUUGCACAUAGCAACAUUGUUGGGCGUUGGUAUCUGGCAUGCUCGGAAAGGAGUACACGAAGUCCACAAUCCAGUUGUACCUACAAACAACAAGGUAUAUAUAGCAUCCCCGUUCAUAUUAGCAUAUGUAGUAUAAGUUGCAUGAGUUUAGAUUAUAUGAAUAUCCAAGGUACAUCAUACAUAAUUGGACUAUUGUAAACAUAAACAAAGAGUGUACCUCUGUUUAUCGUAGUUGCUUGACAUGACCAUAAAGUGCUAGACAUCAUCAGAAGAACUACGAAACAUAUAGCCUAUGUGUUGUUCUUGAUAGGUGCCAUGAGGAGUGGUUUCUUAUUCCUUUUUCCUCCUAUACCUGUAUUCUUUAUGGGCGAUAUCUCUCAACCUAUAUUUCUUAUUGUGUUAUUUAUUAGAGGCAUAAAUCUCGAAGGACCCAUUCUUGCUCUUAUAUUAUUUCUCACAUUUAUGUUUUGAUCAUCAUGUGUUUAUAUAUAGUCACUUGAUGUCCGCAAGGUCACUAUAGCAUUUAGAUAUGAUAUAUCAAAAUAUAUCUUGUGGAGAACAUGUUACUAAAUGCAACCUAGAUUUUGAUAUUUGAAAUUAAUCACUACUCUGAAAUACCAUACAUAUAGCACAUUAAGUUGUGCCCCCGCAAAAAAAGCAUAUUAAAUAUGUAUCUUCAGUAGUAGUUGUUCUAUCAUGUAGCAUAGUAGACCCAUGUAAGAAAAACAUAUCGGAUAAUAAUCACAACAUUAUUUCUUUAGGAUUCCACAACAUUAAACCAUUAUAUUAUGUCUUUAGCACUCAAUGUAACAAGCAGAAAAGGCCACCCGAAAUAGUUAGAAAUAAGCCUGUAGAUAACCUCUACUACCGGGUUUUGCAUGCACGCAGUUUGCAAAAGGGACACGAAAGAAAGUUGACCCCUUUUUCUUUGAGCAAAAAAACCCUUGUCUUGUGGGCAGAGAUAGGCCCAGAUACACAAGGCCGCAACACGGGGCUUGAUUAUAUUUACGACAGAUAUGUUCACUAGCCCACCAACUUGCCUUUCCUUCGCUUCGAGGUUUUCUUAGUGGAAUUCCCUAUUUGCCGCUCAUUACGUCGAACUGUCGAUGCAAAGCACAGAGCUGGGGAUUGAAGCGCUCACAUGGGCCGGCCCGUUAAUCAAUUGGGUCACUUUCUGGUUUUGGGAACCUUCUAGAGUUUCCUAGCCGAGUUUUUCUGGUUUUGGGAAACUUCUAGAAGGUUCCUUGAACCGUAUUUCUUUUUGUCGAUAUUUCUGUUUCUUUUUUUUUUCUUUUUUUAUUUCUUUUCAUUUCCUUUUCUAUUUCUUUUUUUUCAUUUCCUUUAUAUUUCAAGUCCAUUUUUUUAAAACAAAUCAGGUUUCAAAUUUUGUUCAGAAACUGAAAAAAAAUCGUACUUUUACAGUAUUUUCAAUUUUGUAAAAAAUUUCGUGCUUUCAAAAAUUGUUCAUAAAUUCAAAUAAUGUUCGCAUUUUCAAAAAAUUGUACGGGCAUUUCAAAAAGUGUUCCCAUUUUCCAUAAAUUGUUCAGAAUAUUUUUUUUAUUUUUUGUAACUUUUCAAAUAAUGACUGGGAUUUAAAAAAUGUUUAUGUUUUAAAAAAUUGUUCUUGUUUCCAAAUUUUGCUGACAUAUUCAAAAAUGUUCAUGUUCCAAAUUUGAUUGGAAUUUUUAAAAUUGUUCUCUGUUUCUAACUUUGGUCUAAAAAUGUUCUUGUUUCCAUUUCUGUUUCUUUCUUUGUUUCUUUUUAAUUUUUAUGUUUUUUUCGAAAAAAUUUCAUUUUUCAAAAAUUGUUCGUAACCUUUAAAAAGUUGUUCCCACUUUUAAAAAACGUUCAUUUUUUUAAAAAUGUUCGUGUUUUCCAAAUUUGUUCAUAAAUUCAAAAAAUGUUUGCAUUUUAAACAAAAUGUUUUGGAAUUUAAAAAAUGUUGCCUUUUAAAAAAAGGUUUGUCUUUGCAAAUGGCAACCCCUCGCAAUGAACGUUCGCCAGCUAUUGCAGUCUAAAAGAUGAUGUGUCCAGAUCUGUAGUCUGAAGAGGUGUGAGCGUUUUGUAAAAUAUUGACAAUUUUAAAAACUGCACACGAUUUUGUUUACAAGAUUUUGACAAAUUUGAUGUAUUUUAGUUUUAUUUGAAAUAAACAAAUAUUUUCCUUUUAGGGGAAAGUGAAAACCUGUAAAAGCAUAUAAAAUCACUAGAAACACAUAGCGUCAUUUAGGAGCUCCCUUUGCUGAUCUGUUGCAAUAUAGAUCUUGAGUCAUCUUAUAACUCACUCACUGCAAUGUUAUUGAUGGCAAAACGCACAUGGAAAAAGGAUUUCCUUCUUGAGCCACGUGGCUCAGAUCGCUCCCAAUUUUCUUUCUCUUUUUUUAUCCAGAUUUCCGUCAGUUUAAACCAAAAAAUAGCUCUCUUGCUUAUGUAGUUAAAUUCAAAAAAUAUCAAACAGUGAUAUAAAAGUACAUGAUUUUACAUGAAUAAUUAAACUGUUUGUGAAUUUUCAAAAAUGAUCUUGAAUUAACAAAAUGUUCAUAGGUGUAAACAUAUGUUCUUCUUUAUAAAAAUGCUUAGGAAUUUAUAAAAUUGUGGAAUUUAUAAAAAUACGAAAUUCAAUAAUGUUCUAUAAUCUUCAAAAAAUGUUGGUGUUUUUAAAAAACACGUAUUUCAACAAUAAUUGUAGUUUGAAAAGGAUUAUGUAUUUCAUAAUAUAUUCUUUAAUUUCAAAAUUGUACAUAAUUUUAAUAAAUGUUCAUGAAGUUGAAAUUCAUAAAUAAAAAUAAAAAGUAUAGAGAAAAAUCAGAUGGAAAUCCUAGAAAACCACAAGAACAUGGGGCGUGAUGUGCACUCUACCUAUGCAUUAAUCGAAUACUUUUUUGCAAUGAGCGACAACUACAUUUUACAAUGGCUUGCUACACGCAUGAGCUGUUGCUCCCAUGUCCUAGUAGAUCGGGAUCGCGCCUUGACGCGAGGGUGCCGGUCCCAAUGUUUUGCCGAAGCACUAUUUUAGUAUAAACCCAGGUAUAGUAUUUGCACUUAUAUAGAAUAAUAAAGCAAAUUUAGAUAGAAGUAAAACAAAAUGAAUCUCAAUACCGACAUGAGAUUAUAAGGCAGGAUCAAACUAAGUGUGUUCAUAAGACCAUAAAAGAUGGCCACUCAACAUAAAAUUCGAUACCAAAAGCGAGAAUACAUAAAAGGUAAUAAGAACAAGAAGAUAAUAAAGGAGAGCCAAUUGUGGAGCCAUAACCACUAAGCAUACGGGAGGAGCUCCAUUGUGUUAGCCACCUCAGUCUUGCGAUGCUUGGCAUCCUGUAGCCACCUCUUUCUUCAGAUUUUGGAGCCUCUUAGAAUAUAUAAAUGGUAUAGGUGCCCUGUCAAGGAAAAAAAAUAGAUAAAUACAGAUUGUGUGUCUUAUUUUUAUUGUGGUGUCAAUCGAGGAAAAAGGAUGAUGCACGACUACAGAACACCAAACUACAAUCCGAUGAUCAACCAACUAUACAAAUCAUAGAGGGAUCUCCUGGGCACUAAGCCCUUAUAAAAGGGUUUCAAGGUAUCCACUUUAUCACCAGCCUACAAAUAAAAUAUAUAAGGUGGGGGCAAGGGAAGGACUAAAAUAAAAAGAAGUACUCGCUUGGUAAUGCAUACUGGAAAGACAUGUUGCUGGUAAGGAUCUCCUCUACUCAGGAAAAAUAAAAAGAUAGGAGGCGCGUGGUGCCUGCCUCAACAUAUUGUCCAUGUGCUUAAACAAAGCAUUUAGUGUUGUCAAAUGGGAAUUAGAACGAUUGCUUGGGAUGAAUCAGCCCUUGCCAAAUGGAAACUAAAAUAAUUGUGCAGGAUAGAUCAACCCAAUACAGUAAGUUUAGAUCAAUAGCAAUACAGAAGGGUGAGACAGCCUGUUAUACCAAAAGUAAGGCAAGCCAGAAGUUCAUGACAAAGGGGAGACAUAUAUUUGGUGGCAAAAGUAAGCCAAAAUGAUGGGUUCUUGUUAAGUAGAUAAAAUAGUUGGGUUAUUAGAUAGCGAAAGCAAGCCAGAGUAGCGAAUAAGAUUCCUAUAUAGUUUUAACAAUCCUAUGUAGUUCUGCUAUAAUUAAAGAACCAGUGAUGCAUCAAUAUAACUAAUAUACAGUAGUUAACAUGAAGAAUGCCGAGCAGUGCCCUUUUACAAAAGGAGAGGACAAUCAGAUGUUCGCAUAACACAUCACAGCAGCUAGUGGUAUGACACAUCGUUUGGAAGUUAUUGGGGCCAAAGCCAACCAUAUAGCUAAGAGAAAAAGCGCCUGCACAUGAAGCAUUGUCACUAACCCUGAAUGAAGGGUUCUACUUUCAAGUGUUUGUGAAGAACAUGGUGUAUAAGUCACAGCCCAGGAUCACCGCGACACUUUAAUCUCAACAUCAAUACACUUCCAAUACCACUAAGGGAAAAUAGAGUUAAAAUUCAUGUGAGAACAAAAUAGAAACAACUGUGGUCAAAAUGCAUAAUCCUUGCUCAAAUCAAAUUGAUAAUCACCAGAUGGUAUAUAUUUUGGCUCCCUCCCAGAUCAAAUUAAUUUACACUUAUGGAGGAUUGUUAUUAACAAAGUAACCGACAAAGAAGUGAUCGCCAGUUGCACUGUCUACUUAUGUCUUUAUGAAUGCAAAUGCAAGUGGAAGCUACCAAGGUUCGGUAAAUAGGGAUUGACCAGUAGCUUUUUUCCGAACUGGAAGGAACAAAGUCUCACUUCUAGCCAAACCGAGUGGAGAGCACAUCCUAUCAUUCUUUUGAUCUCUAGAUUUCAUCCAAUUGAGAUUUUCAUUCCGUCAUUUCAAGGAAAUGGUGUACACCAAUUUAAGAAGUUUAGGAGUAUGUCCUAAAAGAAGUUUCAGGUGUGCAUAUCGUUACAAGCUUGAAAUACUGACAUAAAAGCUUGAAAUAUGAGAUUGUGCAUGUAGAAAUAAAUAAGAAAUUAUAUGUCAAACAAAUUUAUGUUUUCUGCCAUUCCAGAAAUUCUAAUUUCUUAAUGAGCCGACUUGCAUACGUCUCUCUCCGAAGGAAAGACCAUUUCUAAUUACAGAAAAGGGAUAUGUACAAUGGUAGACAUAUGUGUUGGUCGAUAAUACCUCAAAUGGCGCACCACUAAGAUUUUCCAUUACCAGCUUCUUAUGGAUCAGUGAUACAGAGCUCUCUGCUUGUGCCUGGCUUGGCAGCUUCCUCUAGACCAGCAAUAAAAUUAAUAGAUUAAGAGAGUACCUCAGCAAACUCAAGAUUAAUUUAUACUCCAUAAACUAAUAUAAGUUCAGGGAGGUAGUACCUAAACAGAUCCAUAAAAUCUUUUAUUCUUUCCAGAAAAUGUAGAAUUAUCCAACAUGUAAGGGGUGAACCACCAUCACGACACCAGCAUCUAGAAUAAGUUGAUUUGCAGAAGCAUUGCCACUAAGAAUAAUGCAUAACAAUGAUUUUUUUUCCCUACAUAUAAGGGGAGGCCUCAAACUUAAUCCUUUACUUCCAUAGCACAUCAUACAAUGCCCCCUUAAAAGAGUUCUUCGAAAUAGCAUGCAAGCUCCAUAUCGAAUGGGGAGCAACGGAGGAGGCCACCCGCGACCAUGGCGUCCGACCAAGGCAUCGUUGUUCCGUCCAGCUCGGCCAUGUGCGGGGCGUGACAUCAUUGUGUAGGUACCGGUGGUCGUCCUCAUCCAUGGAGGAUUCCUGCUGCUCCGAUUCAAAGAAACAAGUAAGGGGAUCAAUCAAUCCAUGGAGAGAAGGAAGACAAGGAGACACGCACGUACACAUACUGCUGCUAGUAUAUAAAGAAAUCAACCAAGCCGUAUGUGUGUGUGCUUGAGUACGUGUGUGGUUGGGCUCCUGGAGUACACGAGCUAGUGUUCUAAUUAAACUGAAAUAGAGCAUGCCAUAGGAGAGCAACCUAGAGCACAGAGCAUGCCACAAGAAAGCAACCUAGAGCAGAGCAACUAUAACUUGGAAAAAUCUCACAACCGAGAGAGAGGGAUGGACCUAGUUUGUCAAUCUACCAUGCAUCGUUACUCUAUAAUUUAUAGAGCUGGCAGCCUAACAUGCUACUGCCAUCAGCGGUAACCAAUGAAAUUAGAAAAGCACCGAAACUACUAAUUCUAACCAAAGAAGUUUGAGGAACAUAUUUCUCUUUGUUUUACAAUCUGAAAACGGCUAUUCUGGAGUGUGCAGUGGUCACUCAAAAUAAAGAAUACAUAUACCUGACCUGCGAAAAACAACUGGCACAACGCAAUGGUCCUUAAUCGGUUAUCCAUAAUAUAGACAAACAAAUAUGAAUCAGGAACCAAGCAGUUUAAUUGGUUGCAAAUUAAAGGACCCUUAGAAUCCGCUUUUAGAUGGCAAACAAUAAACUAUGGCAAUAAAAAAUCAGUAGCCAAAACCCAUAGGACGGAUAAUAGCAUCAGUCAUUCCUUCAACCAAAGCAUCAUAUAUCAUCGAUCUACAUUAUAAGGAGAACUAUGUAUGAGAAUGUGAACCAGAGUUAUACCCCUUGCAUCAUGUAAUUCUUUGGAGUUAGACUCUUUCAAAAUAUUAUCACACAGGGUGCCCAAAAAUAUAUAUUACCACAAUACAUCUAUUCAUCCAUUAAUAAUGAAAAUACUAAUACAUAACUUCCACCUAGAGUAGCAUGGAAUUGCACAAAUAAUACAUAGCAAGAGAUUCAUUAUUUCAAUGCAUGAUAAGUUACGAAAUAGAUCAUCUAAACAAACAAAAUAAUGUUUGUUUGUGCCACUUAUUAUUACUGUUAUCGUGGUACCCACAAUAAGGUGGAAAUGUUAGCUUAUUCAAGGGGGGCCUACAAACUUCGAUCCCAUGAUGGCUAAAAUGGUUUUGGAUCAAUGAAGCUUACAACUGGUAAAUCAGGUGAGCUAGUAAGUAUGGCAAACGAAAAUCAAAGUAGAAUGAUCCCAAAAUGUCUUUUGUUACACUAUUACAAAGCAAGUUAACCGAUCUUAGAUCUUGUGACCAUGAAUCCAAACCUCUACUGAUUACUCUUAAAUUCAUAUCAAAGUGAAGAGAGCUAAUUAUUUAUGUGUGGCGCAUUCAGAGAAUUGAUGUGGCUAUUCAUAAAAUCAAAAUUAAGAUCCAUUCUCUCUAGAAGUAACUAAAAUGAAAGAGGAACAGAGAAUAAUAUCUUGUGCCAGAUUGGGAUUAAUGCACUGAUGAGAGACUCGAACAAUGAAACACAUGCAAAAAUGUUCUCUUGAUGCCCAUUUACUCCUAGGAGUACUACUGAACCUAACUGAAUUUAGGAGUAUUUACAAAACCUAGUAGUACUACUGAACCUAAUCGAACCCAAGUGCAUGUGUGGUGUACUAAAUGUAGGAGCUGCGUGUUUGUACUCCAUGGAUGCAAAUCAAAGGAGUUGGAGCCGUGUGUUUGUACUCCAUAGACGUAUUAUAAACUUUGUAGUCCAUGGGAAAUGAACAUAGCUGCAAAUUAAGAAAAACAAAGCAGUCGAGGAGAGAACGAGCUCACCUAUGAGGUUGCAGCCGAGGCAGUAGCACAGCUCGUCGCUGCAACUGAGCUCGACACGCUACCUCCAUGUGUCCGGCCUUUUCCGCGAGUUGCCCCAUGCGUCCAGCCUCCUCCGAGCACUGUCUCCUCACAAACAAGUAGGGGUAGAAAAAACAUGAAUUGUAACUUAUCAACCGAGCGGCAGCAACAAUCAGCGACAUAUCACCGAUCAACAACAGGACACUAACCGAAAAACGCAGCCAAUAGCAAAAUCAGGAGCAGGAUAAAACUAAUAAUAUAAUGAAAAGAAUGCCCACAAGAGAAGCAUGCACAAUCCUAUGAAAUCAGAAUCAAUUAGUUCACCUACUGACACCCAUCUACCAGGAUCAAACAAGGCGUCCAGGAUCAAACAAACAAAGCAAGGAAAGAUACAGCCCCUUCCUUGCAAUCUAGCUAGACCGCUAAUGUAACAACAAAGUUUCUAGAAGAAUCUAACAGCAAUCAUAUAUAAAAAAAGCGCAAGUAAAUAUGGUCAUGCAUAUUUUGAAGCCACCAAAGCUGUCCUUAUGUCGAAAAUUGAAAUAAACGAUGGUACAAAGAGGAGAAAUAAUGAAAAUAACAUGAAGGAGUCAGAACCCAGAAAUCAUAUGUAACUAAACUAUGAGAAACCAUGUAUAUUACCUCAAGAAUCUAUAUAGACCUAAGCUUCUCUUUAACAGGCAGAAAACCAAGCAAUAAAACAGAUAGCCUAGCUAAAUCCAAGGACCUACUUGACGGCAAGGCACCAACAAAACAAGAAAGCCCCCCAAAAGUCCUCCUCUGGAACCUAGCUACCUAAGAAUCUGCUGCACAAGAAGAAACCCAAGGCAUUUUUGCUAGCCAGUCCUACAAAAUGGUACAUGAACAUAAGAGGGGAAGGAGCUCAACCAGCAGGAGCAUGACCAGUGCGGCCACACGCGGCAGAGGUGAAGCAUAGAUCGCUCGGAAUCGCGUGUGUAAGGAAGAACCCAACAACACGGUACAUGCGAGUAGCACCAGCAAACAAAUCAGUAGGUUACUUCUAGGACAUAGCACCUCGAUCACUCUUUACAUGAACAAUCCAGCAUUAUCUACUAAAAAACUAUCAACAAAAAUCUUGUAGCAUUAUUAUUUGUAGCAUGUAAGAACAAAUAGCUGCAAAUGGUAACUUGCGAAAAAAUAGAAGUAGUAGUGUCACAGCAAAUUAAAACAAGCCAUUCAACCAUUGCGGGGAGCGGGUCAAAGUGCGACUUACUCUUAUAACCAGAUUAAAUCAAGGACCAACAACAAUAUAGAUACAACAAAGUGCGACUGUACAUAUUCUACAAAACACACCACUGCACCAUGUAGAUACAACACAUAUCAAUUAGAAGGGGCAACUUGUGCCCUGUUUAUGAGAGAAAGAAAUCAAAUAAUAUUUGUAACAGUAGAUUGAGAUAUGAUGAGAAUACCUAAUCAGUAAAGCAUCACUACCCAACCAUAAGCAUAAAGGAAGUAAUAUGAGCUGAAAUCUCUGAUGGCAUAAAAAAUUAGAGCAUGUCUGACAUAACAUUUUGAAGUUACAAAUGGUAAAUAAACUACAACCAAGAAACAGAACAUUAAGUAGCUAGAGAGUAUACACUACUUUCUAAUAGGAAAGAAUGUAAUUUAAUCGGUAAGGUACUGUCACUGUCUCCAACAUGAAAAAACGAAGAAACCUUUUGUAAUCAGUAUCUACCAUGCUCAUGUUUCUUCUGUAUUCAGUACAGUAGCUGCAACCAUGCGCAUAUCACCGAGCAGGAAAAAGAGAGAAGGUUACGGCUUACUUAACAUUUGCCAAUUGAUGCUGCCUGCACCCAUACUUUAUGAAUCUGCUGCUUCUAAUUCUGUUACAACCUGCCACUCCUCAUUAUAUGUUGCCCCAUCAUUUUCCUGCAACGCAUCUAUAUAACAAAAAGCACCACAUCAAGUGAGGUACGAAAAUAGCAGAUAGCAAAGCAACAUGAGAAUAGUAGUCAAGUAUAUUGGCAUACCUUUAAUUCUCAAAUAGUUGAUUGGUUCAUGACGAUGGUUCGAGGAGAAAGCUGCAAUUGAAAAAAUAAAGAUAUUCUUACAAAGAAGGCCCAAAGGUUUAAGCAGGAUAUGGUAAUAAAUAUACAUAAUAUGUAAACUUCAAAACUAUUGCAGAGAGAUAAAUGUGGUUUUGGAAGAAACAUGUUCCUAGAUAGGCAGAGUCUAAUUGUAGUAGCAUAUCAUUGUGAGACGAAUGCACUUUUUUAACUUCUCCCUAGCCUACCCAUGUGGUUCCAGAGGGUAACACAUUCAUUAAAUGCAAACUCGAUAGCAGAAUUUUCCCUCAUGACACAGAGCUUUUCCCAAGUGCACCAUAUAUCCUGAUUUGGAAUGUUCUAAAUCCAAGAAUAUAAUGUAUGAUAGUUUAUCAUCAAUACUGAUGAUAUAGAGACAAAGAUGAGAGCUAGGAACCAUGCCAAUUAGCUUGGAUGGGCUCCCCACUGUUUGAUCUGCUUCAACAUUGCAAAGGGAGGUUCUUCAGUACUUCUCAAGCUUCUAGAUUCCCUGCAGCUGCAAUAGGCUCAACCUUAAUUGUCUUCCAUUCAGUACUAUCUAAGUGUGCGGGCGAGUGAGGCUUGCAGGCGAUGUAUGAAACAAGUGCAAGACGCUAUAAAAAUAGUACUAUGUCUGUAUCUGUGGUAGUAGAUAAAAGUAACAUUAGUAUCAGUACUAAUUCUAAGUAUAUCAGAACAUGCAAAGAACAUAUGUAGUAGUAAUAGCCAGGUAGGCAUAGUUGCCAGAUUCGGUGGGUUUGAUUUGGGGAAACAAUGCAUUGGCAAGGCAACAGGCGAGGGAUGGAUGGAUGGAUGGAUGGACUUACGAUUUUGUCGAGCUCCCGGGUCUUGCGCAUCAGCUCCUCCUUGAGCCGGCUAUUCUCCUCAAGCUGCGGUGGCGUGGGAGGGGGAGAAUGGAUGACUGAGUCAGUGAUAUUGGCAGGGGUGAGAAAAGAGAUGGGCGAGGGGAGGGGGGAGGUGUCCUGGUGAUGGAUGGUGGCCUCGGCGUCCUCGACGGCGCGCAUGACCUGGAAGAGGUUGCCGGUGCCAGCGGCGUCGUCGGAGUCCUGGCACGCGGUGGCCAGCUCAUCGGCGUCGGCCAUGGCGCGGUGAUGGCGAUGCGGGUGGGGUACGGGGAGGAGAUGGGAGCACGGCGAGGGAGGCGGAACCCUAGGGAGGGGAGGGGAGGGGAGGCGGCUCCUCAAGUGGCUGGUCGCGCUGCUGGUGGAGACGAGACGGGAGUGGGGGAGGGAGGGGAUUCGCGCUCUCUCUCUCUNNNNNNNNNNAAACAGAUAGCCUAGCUAAAUCCAAGGACCUACUUGACGGCAAGGCACCAACAAAACAAGAAAGCCCCCCAAAAGUCCUCCUCUGGAACCUAGCUACCUAAGAAUCUGCUGCACAAGAAGAAACCCAAGGCAUUUUUGCUAGCCAGUCCUACAAAAUGGUACAUGAACAUAAGAGGGGAAGGAGCUCAACCAGCAGGAGCAUGACCAGUGCGGCCACACGCGGCAGAGGUGAAGCAUAGAUCGCUCGGAAUCGCGUGUGUAAGGAAGAACCCAACAACACGGUACAUGCGAGUAGCACCAGCAAACAAAUCAGUAGGUUACUUCUAGGACAUAGCACCUCGAUCACUCUUUACAUGAACAAUCCAGCAUUAUCUACUAAAAAACUAUCAACAAAAAUCUUGUAGCAUUAUUAUUUGUAGCAUGUAAGAACAAAUAGCUGCAAAUGGUAACUUGCGAAAAAAUAGAAGUAGUAGUGUCACAGCAAAUUAAAACAAGCCAUUCAACCAUUGCGGGGAGCGGGUCAAAGUGCGACUUACUCUUAUAACCAGAUUAAAUCAAGGACCAACAACAAUAUAGAUACAACAAAGUGCGACUGUACAUAUUCUACAAAACACACCACUGCACCAUGUAGAUACAACACAUAUCAAUUAGAAGGGGCAACUUGUGCCCUGUUUAUGAGAGAAAGAAAUCAAAUAAUAUUUGUAACAGUAGAUUGAGAUAUGAUGAGAAUACCUAAUCAGUAAAGCAUCACUACCCAACCAUAAGCAUAAAGGAAGUAAUAUGAGCUGAAAUCUCUGAUGGCAUAAAAAAUUAGAGCAUGUCUGACAUAACAUUUUGAAGUUACAAAUGGUAAAUAAACUACAACCAAGAAACAGAACAUUAAGUAGCUAGAGAGUAUACACUACUUUCUAAUAGGAAAGAAUGUAAUUUAAUCGGUAAGGUACUGUCACUGUCUCCAACAUGAAAAAACGAAGAAACCUUUUGUAAUCAGUAUCUACCAUGCUCAUGUUUCUUCUGUAUUCAGUACAGUAGCUGCAACCAUGCGCAUAUCACCGAGCAGGAAAAAGAGAGAAGGUUACGGCUUACUUAACAUUUGCCAAUUGAUGCUGCCUGCACCCAUACUUUAUGAAUCUGCUGCUUCUAAUUCUGUUACAACCUGCCACUCCUCAUUAUAUGUUGCCCCAUCAUUUUCCUGCAACGCAUCUAUAUAACAAAAAGCACCACAUCAAGUGAGGUACGAAAAUAGCAGAUAGCAAAGCAACAUGAGAAUAGUAGUCAAGUAUAUUGGCAUACCUUUAAUUCUCAAAUAGUUGAUUGGUUCAUGACGAUGGUUCGAGGAGAAAGCUGCAAUUGAAAAAAUAAAGAUAUUCUUACAAAGAAGGCCCAAAGGUUUAAGCAGGAUAUGGUAAUAAAUAUACAUAAUAUGUAAACUUCAAAACUAUUGCAGAGAGAUAAAUGUGGUUUUGGAAGAAACAUGUUCCUAGAUAGGCAGAGUCUAAUUGUAGUAGCAUAUCAUUGUGAGACGAAUGCACUUUUUUAACUUCUCCCUAGCCUACCCAUGUGGUUCCAGAGGGUAACACAUUCAUUAAAUGCAAACUCGAUAGCAGAAUUUUCCCUCAUGACACAGAGCUUUUCCCAAGUGCACCAUAUAUCCUGAUUUGGAAUGUUCUAAAUCCAAGAAUAUAAUGUAUGAUAGUUUAUCAUCAAUACUGAUGAUAUAGAGACAAAGAUGAGAGCUAGGAACCAUGCCAAUUAGCUUGGAUGGGCUCCCCACUGUUUGAUCUGCUUCAACAUUGCAAAGGGAGGUUCUUCAGUACUUCUCAAGCUUCUAGAUUCCCUGCAGCUGCAAUAGGCUCAACCUUAAUUGUCUUCCAUUCAGUACUAUCUAAGUGUGCGGGCGAGUGAGGCUUGCAGGCGAUGUAUGAAACAAGUGCAAGACGCUAUAAAAAUAGUACUAUGUCUGUAUCUGUGGUAGUAGAUAAAAGUAACAUUAGUAUCAGUACUAAUUCUAAGUAUAUCAGAACAUGCAAAGAACAUAUGUAGUAGUAAUAGCCAGGUAGGCAUAGUUGCCAGAUUCGGUGGGUUUGAUUUGGGGAAACAAUGCAUUGGCAAGGCAACAGGCGAGGGAUGGAUGGAUGGAUGGAUGGACUUACGAUUUUGUCGAGCUCCCGGGUCUUGCGCAUCAGCUCCUCCUUGAGCCGGCUAUUCUCCUCAAGCUGCGGUGUCGUGGGAGGGGGAGAAUGGAUGACUGAGUCAGUGAUAUUGGCAGGGGUGAGAAACAGAGAUGGGCGAGGGGAGGGGGGAGGUGUCCUGGUGAUGGAUGGUGGCCUCGGCGUCCUCGACGGCGCGCAUGACCUGGAAGAGGUUGCCGGUGCCAGCGGCGUCGUCGGAGUCCUGGCACGCGGUGGCCAGCUCAUCGGCGUCGGCCAUGGCGCGGUGAUGGCGAUGCGGGUGGGGUACAGGGAGGAGAUGGGAGCACGGCGAGGGAGGCGGAACCCUAGGGAGGGGAGGGGAGGGGAGGCGGCUCCUCAAGUGGCUGGCCGCGCUGCUGGUGGAGACGAGACGGGAGUGGGGGAGGGAGAGGAUUCGCUCUCUCUCUCUCUCUGUUCAUAGGAGGUGGCGGACCCUCCCUCUGCUGCUGCUCAUCGUUGUUGGGGAGGGAGGAGGGGGCUUUGUUGAGGUGGAUCUNNNNNNNNNNGGCUCCUCUUUGAUCCGACAGCGCAGGUCAUCCGGCGGCUCGAUCCGACGGCCAAGAUCAGAUUAAGCAACCAGAUCCAACGGCCAGGAAUGCCAAGCGGCUGAGGAGGCUGGAGGAUGACUGGAAUCCUUAUUUCUCGAUUCGUUUGCCCCAUGCGAGUGCAUCCCCCAAAGGCCGCAACCUCUUCUACACCACCGCUUAUGGUUGAAGUUGUUGCCGUCCUCCCCCUGCUUCUUGGACGGUUCGCCUCUGCUUGAGCAUGACUGCGGCGUCCCGCCCAAUUGGCCUUGACAAUGCUCCUCGGCCUCAGCUAAAGCCACUGGCCCGUUCCACUGAUGUUUAGAAUUGCUGCUCAUGCAUCUGCUUGCCACUUUGCCGACAAUGCUACUCGUCGACCCGUGCAACUCUAGCAUGUUGGCUACUUGUCGCGUGCCUCUUGGACCAGAUAGUUUCUAAAUCGAUGCAUUGAAGUUAAACUACAUAGUUGACCUUUUAAGUUUGGGAGCACUUGGUCAGGCAGCUAAAAACUGGUUUUGUUUCAGUUGAUUUGCUCUCCCUCUUUCAACUAUCUUAUUUAAAUCCAAAGCCUCAUGUUUUUCAUCCUCCUGCCAUCGAAGCGACAAUGUUCUUUUUGAUGGAAAUAUUCCCUAGAGGCAAUAAUAAAAUGGUUAUUAUUAUAUUUCCUUAAUCAUGAUAAAGGUUUAUUAUUCAUGCUAGAAUUGUAUUAAUCAGAAACUUAAAUACAUGUGUGGAUACAUAAACAAAUACCAUGUCUCUAGUGAGCCUCUACUAGACUAGCUUGUUGAUCAAAAGAUGGUUAAGGUUGCCUAACCAUAGACAUGUGUUGUCACUUGAUAACGGGAUCACAUCAUUAGGAGAAUGAUGUGAUGGACAAGACCCAUCUAUUAGCUUAGCAUCUGAUCGUUCAGUUUAUUGCUACUGCUUUCUUAAUGCCAAAUACAUGUUUCUUCAACCAUGAGAUCAUGCAACUCCCGUAUAUCGGAGGAAUACCUUGUGUGCUAUCAAAGGUCACAACAUAACUGGGUGAUCAUAAAGAUGCUCUACAGGUAUCUCCGAAGGUGUCUGUGGAGUUGGCGUGAAUCGAGAUUGGAAUUUGUUACUCCGUAUGGCGGAGAGGUAUCUCUGGGCCCUCUCAGUAAUACACAUCACAAGAAGCUUGCAAGAAAAAUGACUAAGGAGUUAGUUACGAGAUGAUGUAUUACGAAACGAGUAAAGAGACUUGCCGGUAAUGAGAUUGAACUAGUUAUGGAGAUAUCAACGAUCGAAUCUCGGGCAAGUAACAUACCGACAGACAAAGGGAAUUACGUAUGCUGUCAUAACGGUUUGAUCGAUAAAUAUCUUUGUAGAAUAUGUAGGAACCAAUAUGGGCAUCCAAGUUCCGCUAUUGGUUAUUUACCGGAGAGGUGUCUCGGUCAUGCCUACAUAGUUCUCGAAGCCAUAGGGUCCACACUUUUAACGUUCGUUGAUGAUAUAGUGUUCUAUGAGUUAUAUUAUUUGGUGACGGAAUGUUGUUCGGAGUCCCGGAUUAGGUCAUGGACAUGACGAGGAGCUCCGGAAUGGCCCGGAGGUAAAGAUCAAUAUAUAGGUCGAUGAUAUUUGGACACCGGAAGAGUUUUGGGAGGUACCGGGUAGUCAUCGGAUCAUCAGAAGUGGUUCCGGGAAGCCCCGGGAUGCUAUAUGGCUUAAUGGGCCAAAGGAGGAACACACCAGCCCACAAGGGGCUGGUGCGCCCCUCUCCCUGGCCGCCGGCCCUAGGGGAAGGAAAGGGGGAGGGUUGGCCCCUCCUUCCUUUCCCUCCUCAUGAGAGANNNNNNNNNNNNNNNNNNNNNNNNNNNNNNNNNNNNNNNNNNNNNNNNNNNNNNNNNNNNNNNNNNNNNNNNNNNNNNNNNNNNNNNNNNNNNNNNNNNNNNNNNNNNNNNNNNNNNNNNNNNNNNNNNNNNNNNNNNNNNNNNNNNNNNNNNNNNNNNNNNNNNNNNNNNNNNAGGGGGCGCCACACAAGGACCACGUCGAUCUCUUAGCCGUGUGCGGCACCCCUCUCCAUAGUUUCAUCCAUCAGUCAUAUUUUCAUAGUGCUUAGGUGAAGCCUUGCGUAAAUAGCAUCACCACCACCAUCACCACUUCGCCCGUCUUGCUGGAUCAAGAUGGCGAGGACGUCACCGAGAUGAACAUGUGCGUCACCGAGAUGAACUUGAUCGGUUGGACCGUGAAGAAGUUCGACUAUAUCAAUUGCGUUAAUAAACGCUUCCGCUUACGGUCUACGAGGGUACAUAGACACACUCUCCCCUCUUGUUGCUAUGCAUCUCCAUGGAUACAUCUUGCGUGUGCAUAUUUUUUUUUUGUUUUCCAUGCGACGUUCCCCAACACUUCUUCCUCACUGAACCUAUGAUUUCUCUCCCUCCUAUUGAUAAUCCCCAAGUGCAGGGAAUCAUAGUAGCAAUUCCCAAAGGUGGAAGUGAUAAGUAUGGAGUGUCGAACCCACAAGGAGCUAAAGGUAAGAUCAAUAUUCUCUCAAGCCCUAUCUGCCACUGAUACGACUCUAGUGCACCGAACGUUUGCUUCCAACUAGCAACGAGAAAUAAAACUAUGUUGUGGGUAUGUAGAGGAUAACUUUGUAUGAUAUCGGAGAGCUAAAACAUAAAAGUAGGUGUUGUUAUCAUAAAGUUAGAAUAUAAUACUAAAUAUUAUAAAUAGCGAGUGUGGAAUAAUGGUGGAUCGGUGUGCGGAAUUGUCCUAGGCAAUAGUUAACAAGACUGAUAAUCACUAUUGCAGUUUCAUAUGAGGGAGAGGCAUAAGCUAACAUACUUUCUCUUCUUGGAUCAUAUGCACUUAUGAUUGGAACUCUAGCAAGCGUCGUCAACUACUGAAGAUCAUAAAGGUAACAACCAACCAUAGCAUUAAAGCAUCAAGUCCUCUUUAUUCCCAUACACAACAACCUACUUACUCGGAUUUGUGUUUUAGUCACUCACGCAACCCACUAUAAGCGAAUCAUGAACGUAUUGCAACACCCUACAGCGGGAAUCCCUCAUGCUUGCGCGACACGGAGGGCACCAUAGGAUAGCAUCAAAGUAAAACAUACAACUCAUACCAAUCUAAAUCAUCAAUCAACCCAAAGACAAAAGAUAUCUACUCAAAACAUCAUAGGAUGGCAACACAUCAUUGGAUCAUAAUAUGUGGCAUAGAGCACCAUGUUCCUGUAGGGAUUACAGCGGGGUGCGGGAGAGUGGACCGCGUAAAAGAGAUGAGGAUGGUGAUGAUGAUGGUGAUGUUGAUGAAGACGAUCACCGCGGCGAUGAUUCCCCUCCCGAUGGCACUCCGGUGCCACCAAGAGAGAGCAGGAGAGGUUCUCCCCCUUGUGCUUCCUCCUCCAUGACUUUCCCCCUCUGGUCCUUGGCCUUGAUGGUGAUGAUGGACCCUCCGAGAUCCUCCUCCAUGGCCCCCGGUGAUGAUGGCCCCCUCCGGCAGGGUGCCGGAGAGGUCCUAGAUUGAUUUCUCAUGGCUACAGAGGCUUGCGGCGGGGGAACUUAUGAUCUAGGUCAAUUCCCGAAGGUUUCUGUAUUUAUAGGAAUAUUUGGCGUUGGUUUCACGUCAGGGGGGUCUCUGGGCUGUCCACGAGAUAGGGGGCGCGCCCCCCACUCUCGUGGGCAGCCCGGGACUCUUCCGGCCCAACUCUGAUGCUCCGUGGUCUUCUUUUGGUCCAUAAAAAAUCCUCAAAAAUUGGCACGUCAAUUGGACUCCGUUUGGUAUCCCUUUUCUGUAAAACACAAAAACUAGGAGAAAACAGAAAUUGGCACUGGGCUCUAGGUUAAUAGGUUAGUCCCAAAAAUCAUAUAAAAUGACAUAUAAAUGCAUAUAAAACAUCAUAGAUGAAUAAUAUAAUAGCAUGAAUACUUCAUAAAUUAUAGAUAUGUUGGAGACGUAUCAGCAUCCCUAAGCUUAAUUCCUGCUCUUCCGCGAGUAGGUACAUGAUAAAAGAAAUAAUUUAUGAAGUGUGAAUGCUAGUAGGUGGACAAGUUUGAUCAAUGAUAAUUUCAAUCACCUUUUCUAGCAUCAAAAUGUGUCAUAAUAGUAGCUUAUCUCAUAAAACUUUUCAUGAUCAAGUAACAAUCUAUUCACAAUGUCAAGUAUGGUUCAGAAACUUCAUUGAGAACUAACAAACUAUAAUCUCAGUCAUUUAAGCAAUUGCAAUUUAUCAUAACAUCAGAAAGAGUCAAGAAUAGAGCUUUUUAGCAAGUCCACAUACUCAACUAUCAUAUAGUCUUCUACAAUUGCUAACACUCACGCAAUACUUGUGGUUAGGGAGUUUCAGCCAGACACUGAGAAAGAUAGGGGCUUAUUGUGUUGCCUCCCAACGUAUUCACCUUUAGGUGAUGUCAACUAUAAUAGCCCAUGCUAACUUACAUCCAAUUGGAUAUAUAUACCAUGAUCUUUCAAACACAAGGAGCUUGCCAAAGGACAAAAUGAAAAAGGGAAAGGUGAGGAUCACCUUGACUCAAGCAUAAAGUAAAAACAUAAAGUAAAAGAUAGGCCCUUCGCAGAGGGAAGCAGAGGUUGUCUUGUGCGUUUAGGGUUGGAUGCAUAAAAUCUUAAUGCAAAAGAACGUCACUUUAUAUUGCCCCUUGUAUGUUGACCUUUAUUAUGCAGUCCGUCGCUUUUAUUGCUUCCACAACAAGAUCGUACAAAGCUUAUUUUCUCUGCACUAAUAAGUCAUACAUAUUUAGAUAGCAAUUUUUAUUGCCUGCAACAUGACCACUUGAAGGAUCUUACUCAAUCCAUAGGUAGGUAUGGUGGACUCUCAUGGCAAAACUGGGUUUAAGGAUAUUUGGAAACACAAGUAGUAUCUCUACUUAGUGCAAGGAAUUUGGCUAGCAUGAGGGGGAAAGGCAAGCUCAACAUACUUGGAAGGUCAAUGACAAUAUACUUUAACUGAGAUGUGAGAAAACACAAAUCAUUAUGUUGUCUUCCUUGUCCAACGUCAACUCUUUUAGCAUGUCAUAAUUAAUGAGUGCUCCCUAUCAUAAAAGAUGUCCAAGAUAAUAUAUUUGUAUGUGAACCUCUCUUUCCUUAUUACUUCCUAUUAAUUGCAACGAUGACCAAAACUACGUUUACCAACUCUCAACAACUUUUAUGCCUCAUACUGUUUAUAUGUGAAGUCAUUACUAUCCAUGUUAUAAGCAUAAUAAAACAUAUAGAAAUUCAGAUUCAUGACAUUCAAUUCAUUCCCCCAUUUACUCAUAGGAUGAACAUGAAGCACAUGAGUAAAUGACAAACUACUCCAAAAGAUAUGAGUGAAAGACAUGGAGUAGUCAAAUAAUUAACUAGCCAUGGGAGGGUUCCUUUUUUAUUCAAUAUUCAGAUCCAAUGAUUUUAUUCAAACAGCAAGUAAAAUCGAAAACACGCUCCAAGCAAAACACAUAUCAUGUGACGAAUAAAAAUAUAGCUCCGAGUAAGAUGUACCGAUAGUUUUGAAGACGAAAGAGGGGAUGCCUUCCGGGGCAUCCCCAAGCUUAGGCGCUUGAGUCUUCCUUGAAUAUUACCUUGGGGUGCCUUGGGAAUCCCCAAGCUUAGGGUCUUUCCACUCCUUAUUCUACUCAUAUCGAUAUCUCGCCCAAAACUUGAAAACUUCAAUCACACAAAACUUAAUGGAACUUCGUGAGAUAGGUUAGUAUGAUAAAGAGUAAACCAUGCACUUUGGUACUGUAAAAGACAAGGUUAAUAAUUGUUUUCACAUAAUGCNNNNNNNNNNUACUGUACCAUAUCAUUUCUACAAUUUAUAUUGAGAAAUAUAAGCCAUAGAAACUAGAAAACAAGCAAACUAUGCAGUGAAAACAGAAUCUGUCACAAAUAGAACAGUCUGUAAUGAUCUGAGCAAUAACCAUACUUCUGCUACUCCAAAAAUUAUGAAAUAAAUUGGUGGACAUGAGGAAUUUGUCUACUAAUCUUCUGCAAAAAGAAUAAACUCAAAGUCACACUUCUGUAAAAAAUGACAGCUAAUCUCGUGAGCGCAAAGUUUCUAUUUUUUACAGCAAGAUCACAUUAACUCUCACCCAAGUCUUCCCAAAGGUCUUACUUGGCACUUUAUUGAAACAAAAGCUAUAAAACAUGAUUACUACAGUAGCUUAAUCAUGUAGACACACAAAAACAGUCAGGAUAAAUAUUGGGUUGUCUCCCAACAAGCGCUUUUAUUUAAUGCCUUUUAGCUAGGCAUGAUGAUUUCAAUGAUGCUCGCAUAAAAGAAAAGAGUUGAAACACAAAGAGAGCAUCAUGAAGAAUAUGACUAGCACAUUUAAAUCUAACUCACUUCAUAUGCCUGGGGAUUUUGUGAGCACACAACUUAUGGGAACAAGAAUCAACUAGCAUAGGAAGGCAAAACAAGUUUAACUUCAAAACUUAAAGCUCAUAGAGAGGAAACUUGAUAUCAUUGCAACUCCUACAAGUAUAUAUUCCCCCCUCAUAAUAGUUUUCAGUAUCAUCAUGGAUAACAACCUUUUUUCUCAUACUAAAUUGGAACCUCUUCCGAAAUAGUGGAAUACUAACUAAAGUUGACACUCUUCCAAAUCCACUUUCAUGAAUAUCGUACAAUGAUUCAACACCCUCCAAGAUAGUGGGAUCACUAAUUCCUAAAGUUGACACUCUUCCAAACCCACUUUAAAUUAUAGUACUAUUCAUACUCCAAAAGAUAUAAGUGAAGUUCCUGGAGCAUUCUAUAAUUAAUAUAGACUAGCCAAUAUCCAAGCUCAAAAUAUAUAAGUGAAGCGCACGAAGCAUUCUAUAAAACCAUACUCAAACGAUAUAAGUGAAGCACAAAGAGCAAUUAUCUAAGAUCAUACUUAAAAGAUAUAAGUGAAGCUAAUGAAGUAUAAAUGAAUGAAGAGCUCUCUCAUAUAUCAUGAUUCUUGAAGAAAAAUAAAAACACAAAGGACAUGAAUCGUGUGAACAAAGCAAAAACCGAGGUAUACCGAUAUUUGUUGAGGAAGAAAGAUGGGAUGCCAACCGGGGCAUCCCCAAGCUUAGAUGCUUGAGUAUCCUUUAAAAUAUUUACUUGGGGUGCCUUGGGCAUCCCCAAGCUUGAACUCUUGUCUCUCUUUAUUCUUCUCACAUCAAUAACUCCUCGUUCUUCAAACACUUCAUUCACAAAAACUUAAAAAAAAACUUGUGAGAUCCGUUAGUGUAAUAAAGCAAACUACCACUUUAAGGUACUGUAAUUAACAAUUUAUUUAUUUUUAUUGGUGUUAAACCUACUGUAUUCCAACUUCUCUAUGGUUCAUACCCUUACAUACUAGCCAUAGAUGCAUCAAAAUAAGCAAACAAUACACGAAAAACAGAAUCUGUCAAGAACAGGACAGUCUGUAGUAAUCUGGAAGUUCAGUAAACUUCUGUAACUCCAAAAAUUAUGAAAUAAAAUUGAAAAUUUGAAAUAUUUGUACAGAAGUAAUGUGCAAAAAGUUUCAUACCCAUUUGUCUUUCCAGUAAAAAAUGUAAAUUCAUGCACUACAGCCAAAGUUUCUAUUUUUCUGCACAUAGUAAGCAAGCAAUCUUAUCAUACUAAAACCAAAGCUUGGCACACUAUUUUUAUAUUAAAAAGGAUAUAUACAAGGGUAUAAUUAUUUACAGAGAAACUUUCAUGAAAAAUUCUACAUUGUUUCCGUGAGCAUGAACUCAAGUGCUCAAGGUCGACCCUCACUUCUUCAAUGCAUAACUUUCCAAUCACUUCUCUUUUUGAAAAACUUUUUUAGGCAUGACAGGCAAGUAAUUCUUUUUUGGUAUUUUCAUUCUUUUUAAUUUUUGUGUAUGUUUCAUCCACAACUAAACAGAAACAAAAAGGGAAAAUAAAAUCUACUUAGUGAAGAAAGCAAACAAGCACACACGAGAAUAUCAACCCCACGCUAUCACUCCCCGGCAACGGCGCCAGAAAAGAGCUUGAUAAUCCCCAAGUGCAGGGAAUCAUCGUAGCAAUUCCCAAAGGUGGAAGUGAUAAAUAUGGAGUGUAGAACCCACAAAGAGCUAAAGGUAAGAUCAAUAUUCUCUCAAGCCCUAUCUGCCACUGAUACGACUCUACAUGCACCGAACAUUUGCUUCCAACUAGCAACGAGAAAUAAAACUAUGUUGUGGGUAUAUACAGGAUAACUUUGUAUGAUAUCGGAGAGCUAAAACAUAAAAGUAGGUGCUGUUGUCAUAAAGUUAGUAAAUAAUACUAAAUAUUAUAAAUAGCGAGUGUGGAAUAAUGGUGGAUCGGUGUGCGGAAUUGUCCUAGGCAAUUGUUAACAAGACCGAUAAUCACUAUUGCAGUUUCAUAUGAGGGAGAGGCAUAAGCUAACAUACUUUCUCUUCUUGGAUCAUAUGCACUUAUGAUUGGAACUCUAGCAAGCAUCCGCAACUACUAAAGAUCAUUAAGGUAAAACCCAACCAUAGCAUUAAAGCAUCAAGUCCUCUUUAUUCCCAUACGCAACAACCUACUUACUCGGUUUGUGUUUCAGUCACUCACGCAACCCACUAUAAGCGAAUCAUGAACGUAUUGCAACACCCUACAGCAGGAAUCCCUCAUGCUUGCGCGAUACAGAGGGCACCAUAGGACAACAUCAAAGUAAAACAUACAACUCAUACCAAUCUAAAUCAUCAAUCAACCCAAAGACAAAAGAUAUCUACUCAAAACAUCAUAGGAUGGCAACACAUCAUUGGAUCAUAAUAUGUGGCAUAAAGCACCAUGUUCAAGUAGGGAUUACAGCGGGGUGCGGGAGAGUGGACCGCGUAAAAGAGAUGAGGAUGGUGAUGACGAUGGUGAUGUUGAUGAAGACGAUCACCGCGGCGAUGAUUCCCCUCCCGAUGGCACUCCGGUGCCACCAAGAGAGAGGAGGAGAGGUUCUCCCCCUUGUGCUUCCUCCUCCAUGGCUUUCCCCCUCUGGUCCUUGGCCUUCAUGGUGAUGAUGGCCCCUCCGAGAUCCUCCUCCAUGGCCUCCGGUGAUGAUGGCCCCCUCCGGUAGGGUGCCGGAGAGGGCCUGGAUUGAUUUCUCAUGUCUACAGAGGCUUGCGGCGGCGAAACUUUUGAUCUAGGUCAAUUCCCGAAGGUUUCUGUAUUUAUAGGAAUAUUUGGCGUUGGUUUCACGUUAGGGGGGUCUCCGGGCUGUCCACGAGAUAGGGGGCGCGCCCCCACUCUCGUGGGCAGCCCGGGACUCUUCUAGCCCAACUCCGAUGCUCCGUGGUCUUCUUUUGGUCCAUAAAAAAUCCUCAAAAAUUGGCACGCCAAUUGGACUCCGUUUGGUAUCCCUUUUCUGUAAAACACAAAAACAAGGAGAAAACAGAAACUCGCACUGGGCUCUAGGUUAAUAGGUUAGUCCCAAAAAUCAUAUUAAAUGACAUAUAAAUGCAUAUAAAACAUCAUAGAUGAAUAAUAUAAUAGCAUGAAUACUUCAUAAAUUAUAGAUUGGAGACGUAUCACCUAUCCUUAGCUGAUUUGGCUGCCUCAAAUUCGUUGAGUACUCGUUUGAGCAAUUACCAAGGACUUACUUCUUGUUGCAUUGCUUCAAGAGAUCUUGGAUGAUAGGUCCAUAGUCCGAGAUUUGCACACCACUCGGUGGCGCAUGGUUGACUUGAUCAAUAUAACCAGGCCAUCGGUUGCAUUGGUCUUGCAUGGUACCUCCAUUGGUUACCAAGAGAGCCUUGGAUGUGGCGUUAUGUGACUUCCAUUAUGUUGAUGUAGUACUCUACAAUUCUACCCGAGAGUCGGUCCUUCGAUUGAUCUGUUCCAAUUGAUGCAUCAACUGACAUGUUUGUCCAAGCGUUACACAAUGCAAUAUAUUAAUCUUGGCAAUACUUGUGAGUCCUAGAUAUUGAUGGUGCCCUCGCGCUUGUUGUGACUCCAUAGAACUAUCAACAACUUCCGGAUCCUCCUUGGCGUCGGCCUCCACUUUUGGCUCAUAAUCCUCCUCGGGGUCUUCUUGUUGAUCAGACACCGAGUUAUAGUUGAGAUCUUCAAGCCCAAGCAUAUGUGACUCCUCCAAAGAUGAUCAAAGUUUGUUUGUGUUAUUCUCCGCACUAUGACAACAAGCACAUCACCCUAGGGCCGCAAGCAAUCACCAUACAAUGCACCGAUCGAUAUGAAAAUACAUUUAUUUACCUUGAUGGCAUUUGUUUGACCACUUGGCGGCCACGACCCUUGGUGAUGGCAGUGGCGGCCGGACGAGCAACCGUAAGGGUGGCCGAAGAUGUGGUGCGAGGCACCAGAGGCAUCUUAUUCUUAUUAUCCUCGCUAUAUCCUCGGUGAGCGCUGACGCAGGUCUCAUCGACCUCCUUGCCCGCUUGUCAGAGGCUGGAGCAGCGGGAGGGCUGCCUCACAUCUUCAAAGAAGCAGUGGUCUUUCCACCGACCUUGCUACCGGCGAUGCUUGCCUGUGUGGUGGCAUGUGUGGGUUUUAAGUGCCUAGCUUCUUCCUUGUUGUGGGCAGCGGCACAGGGCUCAUUUCCUGAUGCGUCGCGCUGGCGGUGGUGGCUGGCAAGGUGGUGGAAGGGUCUUACAUGUACAUCAUUUUGUCCUCGGGUAGGUAGCCGUGUCCGGCCUUCUUGCCGAUGGCGUUUGCACUGCACUCGCAGGUCUUCCUCACAUUCGUCUGCAACUUGACAUGAAAAUAUUUCUGCCACAUGCCAAAGUGGGACUCGACAUAGAGAAAAGCCUCACACAAGGUGAUGAAGCAUGCAAUGUGAAAGAUAGCAAUGAGGGAAGGUAGUGGACUUUGAAGUAGUAAAAAUGCAGGAAACCCCAGAAGGACAGAUUUAUCAGAAAAGCCCAAUCCGUGAAUCAAAAAAGGGAUGAAAUUGACACUCUUAUGCGGAUCAGGCUAUGGGUACACCUCUUCUCGGGCGUCGCCAUUCUCGGUCACGAUGAUGGGAGAGCACGCGAGGACCACGAUAGCUGCGGAAGAUACCCAUCUGCGGCAAGGCGGUCCAACUGGCCACGCUAGUGGAGGGCAUCCAUUUUCCCUUUGUCUUGGAGGUGACCUUGGCUACAACAGUGACAAUCUCCUUUCCAGUGCUGACCAUCUUUCCAUCCGUGGUGAGCUUGUAGCACAUGGCGGCACGGUGGUGAUGUUGGGUUGUGCUAGAGCGAUGGUGCUAUGGCACAGUGAAGUAGCAGGACAACGACAUAGCGCAAAAGCGGUGGAGCUGUUGUUGUGCCAGGAAGAAGAUGAGAACAAGGGAAACAAUAGCAUGAGCUCCCCCUCGCUCCAUCCAUUCCCUUAUAUACGAGGGUGGAAAUGUGAAAUGGCGGCAUGCAAUCAACGCCACCCAGUGGUAAAUCUCUUCAUACCCCCGCGAUGGCGCUAAGUGCACGUGGGGAUUGAGGUGACUCUGUUAAGUGCGUGCGAGAAUCAGGCAUGCUUCCUCUGUUGAUGCAUGGGACGUGGAGUGGGUGGGACCUAUACCCACUCAUGCACGUCACAUUGACCGCUAGGUCAAGUCUGACACAUGGUCCGGUGGGACCAACUGAUGAGACAGGUCUGCUCUAACAGGACUGUACAGUUUGAACCAUAAAGACGCUAUGCGGGAAUUCAACCCAUGAGGAGCAGACUGCGCGGGAAACAUUUUCGGCACAGGUAGGCUAUCUUCAUCAAUGGCUUAAGACCGAGGUUAAUUACGCUACCCCAAAGGCGGUCUGGCAGCUUGAGACCUAUUACGUGAAGAUGUUGUUAAUUAGGGAGGCUUGGAAGAACAAGUUUCAACCUCGACGACCUAAAGACAAUGUGCAACUUGGUGUUGGCAAGCUUGAACACCAAAUUAGGGCUACUGAUGGUGUCACGGCCCAGGGGUACCUCACCAUGUCAGUUCUCGGCCUGGUGGAGCCCUAGGUCGGUUUCAUCCUGGCUCACUUUGGGCAGCCCGUGACAUUUAUAUGGAAGACUCCAGACGACUUAAUGUACAAGACAAGUGUACGUGAGCUGAGGAGGAGUCUACCUCCACCGAUCUAGUCGACUAGGAUCUGUAAGCCUAGGACCCCUGGUAUGUUGUAUAAGCUGGGGUCGGGCUCGUCGAGAGAUCAUCAGGUAGGUUCCCCUUUGGUAUAUCAUAUCUAAAGCUAAUUUGAUUGAUUUACAAUGAUCCUUUUUUGCAUGAGUAUAGGGAUACAUUUAACCAUGGGGCUCGUAGCUUUCCCAAGGUGGCCACACGAUAUUGGUUCGAUAUCAUGUAUGGCCUCUCUAGCCAGCAUCUUUGCUUGUAUCCUGAACAAUCCUAGAUCUAUAAAGAAAAUCAUGGGUGUAGAAUAAUCCCACACCUGGCAGAUCAAGAUUGGUCGAACAUGAUCCUUAUUUAUAGGAGACAUCUAUUUCUCAAUUGACUAAAAUUUAACGCAAAACUGAUUUAUAAAUUUCUGUAUGAAUCUAAGCAAAAUUUUACCAUGUUGUAAAAAAUGUGUUCAUCUAGUGCAAAGCAGAUGUAGUUUUAACUAAGGCUCCACUGAAUUUACCAUGUUGUAAAAAAGUACUGAGAGUGAUAUAAUAGUUCAUUCAGGCGGAAAUCCAAUUUGGCUCUCGGGUGCACAUGCUAUUGCGCGUGAAAAUAAUUUGGAAAUGUCAAAACAAAUCCAACAAAAAAUUUAUGUGUUCAUAGUCACAUCCAAAUGCUACUUACAAACUCUUAGGCAAAAACUUUAAGCAUUUUGGCCAGUGAAAAAAAUAAAAUUAAAUACCAAAUAUUAAUAACAAAUGUCACCUAAAAUUUGUUUUUUUUUUCACCGACGAAACACUGCCGCUCCGUUCCACAUGAAAAUUGUCAAGGAUGACACUAACACGAACAUUUUCAAAAAGAAACUCAUAUUUUUUUUAAUGUUUACAAUUUUUUUAUGGUUACUGUUCAUGCAGGAGGAUGUGCUCCCAGGAGCCAAAACGCCUCCCCCGUUGUUCAGGUUAGUUAAAAAAUGCAGUAUUACUCUCAGAGUUGUUGGUUUGAUGGUUAUGUCUAUUGAGCGCUAAGAAAUUAUACGACAAUUGAGAAUUAGGAAAACCACUUUUCAUAUCACAGAAACUUAAAUCGAGAUUUCUAUAAGUUUAUUGAGUUGUGUAGUCCAGCCAAAAUCAGUUUGUAUAAUUUAUUAUAAUUUUCCAUAUCUUAGUAGCACAAGGUUUUGGCACAUGAAAGUACAUUGUAUCCAUCAUUUCCAUAGCAUUCACCAUUCGCAACAGCACCAUAUGGAACGGUUGCAAUGACUUUUUUCAAAGUUGUAACCACGCUAUUCACAGCUAAGCUUGCACAUAGCAACAUUGUUGGGCGUUUAUAUCUGGCAUGCUCGGAAAGGAGUACACGAAGUCCACAAUCCAGUUGUACCUACAAACAACAAGGUAUAUAUAGCAUCCCCGUUCAUAUUAGCAUAUGUAGUAUAAGUUGCAUGAGUUUAGAUUAUAUGAAUAUCCAAGGUACAUCAUACAUAAUUGGACUAUUGUAAACAUAAACAAAGAGUGUACCUUUGUUUAUCGUAGUUGCUUGACAUGACCAUAAAGUGCUAGACAUCAUCAGAAGAACUACGAAACAUAUAGCCUAUGUGUUGUUCUUGAUAGGUGCCAUGAGGAGUGGUUUCUUAUUCCUUUUUCCUCCUAUACCUGUAUUCUUUAUGGGCGAUAUCUCUCAACCUAUAUUUCUUAUUGUGUUAUUUAUUAGAGGCAUAAAUCUCGAAGGACCCAUUCUUGCUCUUAUAUUAUUUCUCACAUUUAUGUUUUGAUCAUCAUGUGUUUAUAUAUAGUCACUUGAUGUCCGCAAGGUCACUAUAGCAUUUAGAUAUGAUAUACCAAAAUAUAUCUUGUGGAGAACAUGUUACUAAAUGCAACCUAGAUUUUGAUAUUUGAAAUUAAUCACUACUCUGAAAUACCAUACAUAUAGCACAUUAAGUUGUGCCCCCGCAAAAAAAGCAUAUUAAAUAUGUAUCUUCAGUAGUAGUUGUUCUAUCAUGUAGCAUAGUAGACCCAUGUAAGAAAAACAUAUCGGAUAAUAAUCACAACAUUAUUUCUUUAGGAUUCCACAACAUUAAACCAUUAUAUUAUGUCUUUAGCACUCAAUGUAACAAGCAGAAAAGGCCACCCGAAAUAGUUAGAAAUAAGCCUGUAGAUAACCUCUACUACCGGGUUUUGCAUGCACGCAGUUUGCAAAAGGGACACGAAAGAAAGUUGCCCCCUUUUUCUUUGAGCAAAAAAAACCCUUGUCUUGUGGGCAGAGAUAGGCCCAGAUACACAAGGCCGCAACACGGGGCUUGAUUAUAUUUACGACAGAUAUGUUCACUAGCCCACCAACUUGCCUUUCCUUCGCUUCGAGGUUUUCUUAGUGGAAUUCCCUAUUUGCCGCUCAUUACGUCGAACUGUCGAUGCAAAGCACAGAGCUGGGGAUUGAAGCGCUCACGUGGGCCGGCCCGUUAAUCAAUUGGGUCACUUUCUGGUUUUGGGUACCUUCUAGAGUUUCCUAGCCGAGUUUUUCUGGUUAUGGGAAACUUCUAGAAGGUUCCUUGAACCGUAUUUCUUUUUGUCGAUAUUUCUGUUUCUUUUUUUUCUUUUUUAUUUCUUUUCAUUUCCUUUUCUAUUUCUUUUUUUUUUCAUUUCCUUUAUAUUUCAAGUCCAUUUUUUAAAAACAAAUCAGGUUUCAAAUUUUGUUCAGAAACUGAAAAAAAAUUCGUACUUUUACAGUAUUUUCAAUUUUGUAAAAAAUUUCGUGCUUUCAAAAAUUGUUCAUAAAUUCAAAUAAUGUUCGCAUUUUCAAAAAAUUGUACGGGCAUUUCAAAAAGUGUUCCCAUUUUCCAUAAAUUGUUCAGAAUAUUUUUUUUAUUUUUUGUAACUUUUCAAAUAAUGACUGGGAUUUAAAAAAUGGUUAUGUUUUAAAAAAUUGUUCUUGUUUCCAAAUUUUGCUGACAUAUUCAAAAAUGUUCAUGUUCCAAAUUUGAUUGGAAUUUUUAAAAUUGUUCUCUGGUUCUAACUUUGGUCUAAAAAUGUUCUUGUUUCCAUUUCUGUUUCUUUCUUUGUUUCUUUUUUAAUUUUUAUGUUUUUUUCGAAAAAAUUUCAUUUUUCAAAAAUUGUUCGUAACCUUUAAAAAGUUGUUCCCACUUUUAAAAAACGUUCAUUUUUUUUAAAAUGUUCGUGUUUUCCAAAUUUGUCCAUAAAUUCAAAAAAUGUUCGCAUUUUAAACAAAAUGUUUUGGGAUUUAAAAAUGUUACCUUUUAAAAAAAGGUUUGUCUUUGCAAAUGGCAACCCCUCGCAAUGAAUGUUCGCCAGCUAUUGCAGUCUAAAAGAUGAUGUGUCCAGAUCUGUAGUCUGAAGAGGUGUGAGCGUUUUGUAAAAUAUUGACAAUUUUAAAAACUGUACACGAUUUUGUUUACAAGAUUUUGACAAAUUUGAUGUAUUUUAGUUUUAUUUGAAAUAAACAAAUAUUUUCCUUUUAGGGGAAAGUGAAAACCUGUAAAAGCAUAUAAAAUCACUAGAAACACAUAGCGUCAUUUAGGAGCUCCCUUUGCUGAUCUGUUGCAAUAUAGAUCUUGAGUCAUCUUAUAACUCACUCACUGCAAUGUUAUUGAUGGCAAAACGCACAUGGAAAAAGGAUUUCCUUCUUGAGCCACGUGGCUCAGAUCGCUCCCAAUUUUCUUUCUCUUUUUUUAUCCAGAUUUCCGUCAGUUUAAACCAAAAAAUAGCUCUCUUGCUUAUGUAGUUAAAUUUAAAAAAUAUCAAACAGUGAUAUAAAAGUACAUGAUUUUACAUGAAUAAUUAAACUGUUUGUGAAUUUUCAAAAAUGAUCUUGAAUUAACAAAACGUUCAUAGGUGUAAACAGAUGUUCUUCUUUUAUGAAAAUGCUUAGGAAUUUAUAAAAUUGUGGAAUUUAUAAAAAUACGAAAUUCAAUAAUGUUCUAUAAUCUUCAAAACAUGUUGGUGUUUUUAAAAAACACGUAUUUGAAAAAUAAUUGUAGUUUGAAAAGGAUUAUGUAUUUCAUAAUAUAUUCUUGAAUUUCAAAAUUGUACAUAAUUUUAAUAAAUGUUCAUGAAGUUGAAAUUCAUAAAUAAAAAUAAAAGGUAUAGAGAAAAAUCAGAUGGAAAUCCUAGAAAACCACAAGAACAUGGGGCGUGAUGUGCACUCUACCUAUGCAUUAAUCGAACACUUUUUUGCAAUGAGCGACAACUACAUUUUACAAUGGCUUGCUACACGCAUGAGCUGUUGCUCCCAUGUCCUACUAGAUCGGGAUCGCGCCUUGACGCGAGGGUGCCGGUCCCAAUGUUUUGCCGAAGAACUAUUUUAGUAUAAACCCAGGUAUAGUAUUUGCACUUAUAUAGAAUAAUAAAGCAAAUUUAGAUAGAAGUAAAACAAAAUGAAUCUCAAUACCGACAUGAGAUUAUAAGGCAGGAUCAAACUAAGUGUGUUCAUAAGACCAUAAAAGAUGGCCACUCAACAUAAAAUUCGAUACCAAAAGCGAGAAUACAUAAAAGGUAAUAAGAACAAGAAGAUAAUAAAGGAGAGCCAAUUGUGGAGCCAUAACCACUAAGCAUACGGGAGGAGCUCCAUUGUGUUAGCCACCUCAGUCUUGCGAUGCUUGGCAUCCGGUAGCCACCUCUUUCUUCAGAUUUUGGAGCCUCUUAGAAUAUAUAAAUGGUAUAGGUGCCCUGUCAAGGAAAAAAAAUAGAUAAAUACAGAUUGUGUGUCUUAUUUUUAUUGUGGUGUCAAUCGAGGAAAAAGGAUGAUGCACGACUACAGAACACCAAACUACAAUCCGAUGAUCAACCAACUAUACAAAUCAUAGAGGGAUCUCCUGGGCACUAAGCCCUUAUAAAAGGGUUUCAAGGUAUCCACUUUAUCACCAGCCUACAAAUAAAAUAUAUAAGGUGGGGGCAAGGGAAGGACUAAAAUAAAAAGAAGUACUCGCUUGGUAAUGCAUACUGGAAAGACAUGUUGCUGGUAAGGAUCUCCUCUACUCAGGAAAAAUAAAAAGAUAGGAGGCGCGUGGUGCCUGCCUCAACAUAUUGUCCAUGUGCUUAAACAAAGCAUUUAGUGUUGUCAAAUGGGAAUUAGAACGAUUGCUUGGGAUGAAUCAGCCCUUGCCAAAUGGAAACUAAAAUAAUUGUGCAGGAUAGAUCAACCCAAUACAGUAAGUUUAGAUCAAUAGCAAUACAGAAGGGUGAGACAGCCUGUUAUACCAAAAGCAAGGCAAGCCAGAAGUUCAUGACAAAGGGGAGACAUAUAUUUGGUGGCAAAAGUAAGCCAAAAUGAUGGGUUCUUGUUAAGUAGAUAAAAUAGUUGGGUUAUUAGAUAGCGAAAGCAAGCCAGAGUAGCGAAUAAGAUUCCUAUAUAGUUUUAACAAUCCUAUGUAGUUCUGCUAUAAUUAAAGAACCAGUGAUGCAUCAAUAUAACUAAUAUACAGUAGUUAACAUGAAGAAUGCCGAGCAGUGCCCUUUUACAAAAGGAGAGGACAAUCAGAUGUUCGCAUAACACAUCACAGCAGCUAGUGGUAUGACACAUCGUUUGGAAGUUAUUGGGGCCAAAGCCAACCAUAUAGCUAAGAGAAAAAGCGCCUGCACAUGAAGCAUUGUCACUAACCCUGAAUGAAGGGUUCUACUUUCAAGUGUUUGUGAAGAACAUGGUGUAUAAGUCACAGCCCAGGAUCACCGCGACACUUUAAUCUCAACAUCAAUACACUUCCAAUACCACUAAGGGAAAAUAGAGUUAAAAUUCAUGUGAGAACAAAAUAGAAACAACUGUGGUCAAAAUGCAUAAUCCUUGCUCAAAUCAAAUUGAUAAUCACCAGAUGGUAUAUAUUUUGGCUCCCUCCCAGAUCAAAUUAAUUUACACUUAUGGAGGAUUGUUAUUAACAAAGUAACCGACAAAGAAGUGAUCGCCAGUUGCACUGUCUACUUAUGUCUUUAUGAAUGCAAAUGCAAGUGGAAGCUACCGAGGUUCGGUAAAUAGGGAUUGACCAGUAGCUUUUUUCCGAACUGGAAGGAACAAAGUCUCACUUCUAGCCAAACCGAGUGGAGAGCACAUCCUAUCAUUCUUUUGAUCUCUAGAUUUCAUCCAAUUGAGAUUUUCAUUCCGUCAUUUCAAGGAAAUGGUGUACACCAAUUUAAGAAGUUUAGGAGUAUGUCCUAAAAGAAGUUUCAGGUGUGCAUAUCGUUACAAGCUUGAAAUACUGACAUAAAAGCUUGAAAUAUGAGAUUGUGCAUGUAGAAAUAAAUAAGAAAUUAUAUGUCAAACAAAUUUAUGUUUUCUGCCAUUCCAGAAAUUCUAAUUUCUUAAUGAGCCGACUUGCAUACGUCUCUCUCCGAAGGAAAGACCAUUUCUAAUUACAGAAAAGGGAUAUGUACAAUGGUAGACAUAUGUGUUGGUCGAUAAUACCUCAAAUGGCGCACCACUAAGAUUUUCCAUUACCAGCUUCUUAUGGAUCAGUGAUACAGAGCUCUCUGCUUGUGCCUGGCUUGGCAGCUUCCUCUAGAUCAGCAAUAAAAUUAAUAGAUUAAGAGAGUACCUCAGCAAACUCAAGAUUAAUUUAUACUCCAUAAACUAAUAUAAGUUCAGGGAGGUAGUACCUAAACAGAUCCAUAAAAUCUUUUAUUCUUUCCAGAAAAUGUAGAAUUAUCCAACAUGUAAGGGGUGAACCACCAUCACGACACCAGCAUCUAGAAUAAGUUGAUUUGCAGAAGCAUUGCCACUAAGAAUAAUGCAUAACAAUGAUUUUUUUCCCUACAUAUAAGGGGAGGCCUCAAACUUAAUCCUUUACUUCCAUAGCACAUCAUACAAUGCCCCCUUAAAAGAGUUCUUCGAAAUAGCAUGCAAGCUCCAUAUCGAAUGGGGAGCAACGGAGGAGGCCACCCGCGACCAUGGCGUCCGACCAAGGCAUCGUUGUUCCGUCCAGCUCGGCCAUGUGCGGGGCGUGACAUCAUUGUGUAGGUACCGGUGGUCGUCCUCAUCCAUGGAGGAUUCCUGCUGCUCCGAUUCAAAGAAACAAGUAAGGGGAUCAAUCAAUCCAUGGAGAGAAGGAAGACAAGGAGACACGCACGUACACGUACUGCUGCUAGUAUAUAAAGAAAUCAACCAAGCCGUAUGUGUGUGUGCUUGAGUACGUGUGUGGUUGGGCUCCUGGAGUACACGAGCUAGUGUUCUAAUUAAACUGAAAUAGAGCAUGCCAUAGGAGAGCAACCUAGAGCACAGAGCAUGCCACAAGAAAGCAACCUAGAGCAGAGCAACUAUAACUUGGAAAAAUCUCACAACCGAGAGAGAGGGAUGGACCUAGUUUGUCAAUCUACCAUGCAUCGUUACUCUAUAAUUUAUAGAGCUGGCAGCCUAACAUGCUACUGCCAUCAGCGGUAACCAAUGAAAUUAGAAAAGCACCGAAACUACUAAUUCUAACCAAAGAAGUUUGAGGAACAUAUUUCUCUUUGUUUUACAAUCUGAAAACGGCUAUUCUGGAGUGUGCAGUGGUCACUCAAAAUAAAGAAUACAUAUACCUGGCCUGCGAAAAACAACUGGCACAACGCAAUGGUCCUUAAUCGGUUAUCCAUAAUAUAGACAAACAAAUAUGAAUCAGGAACCAAGCAGUUUAAUUGGUUGCAAAUUAAAGGACCCUUAGAAUCCGCUUUUAGAUGGCAAACAAUAAACUAUGGCAAUAAAAAAUCAGUAGCCAAAACCCAUAGGACGGAAAAUAGCAUCAGUCAUUCCUUCAACCAAAGCAUCAUAUAUCAUCGAUCUACAUUAUAAGGAGAACUAUGUAUGAGAAUGUGAACCAGAGUUAUACCCCUUGCAUCAUGUAAUUCUUUGGAGUUAGACUCUUUCAAAAUAUUAUCACACAGGGUGCCCAAAAAUAUAUAUUACCACAAUACAUCUAUUCAUCCAUUAAUAAUGAAAAUACUAACACAUAACUUCCACCUAGAGUAGCAUGGAAUUGCACAAAUAAUACAUAGCAAGAGAUUCAUUAUUUCAAUGCAUGAUAAGUUACGAAAUAGAUCAUCUAAACAAACAAAAUAAUGUUUGUUUGUGCCACUUAUUAUUACUGUUAUCGUGGUACCCACAAUAAGGUGGAAAUGUUAGCUUAUUCAAGGGGGGCCUACAAACUUCGAUCCCAUGAUGGCUAAAAUGGUUUUGGAUCAAUGAAGCUUACAACUGGUAAAUCAGGUGAGCUAGUAAGUAUGGCAAACGAAAAUCAAAGUAGAAUGAUCCCAAAAUGUCUUUUGUUACACUAUUACAAAGCAAGUUAACCGAUCUUAGAUCUUGUGACCAUGAAUCCAAACCUCUACUGAUUACUCUUAAAUUCAUAUCAAAGUGAAGAGAGCUAAUUAUUUAUGUGUGGCGCAUUCGGAGAAUUGAUGUGGCUAUUCAUAAAAUCAAAAUUAAGAUCCAUUCUCUCUAGAAGUAACUAAAAUGAAAGAGGAACAGAGAAUAAUAUCUUGUGCCAGAUUGGGAUUAAUGCACUGAUGAGAGACUCGAACAAUGAAACACAUGCAAAAAUGUUCUCUUGAUGCCCAUUUACUCCUAGGAGUACUACUGAACCUAACUGAAUUUAGGAGUAUUUACAAAACCUAGUAGUACUACUGAACCUAAUCGAACCCAAGUGCAUGUGUGGUGUACUAAAUGUAGGAGCUGCGUGUUUGUACUCCAUGGAUGCAAAUCAAAGGAGUUGGAGCCGUGUGUUUGUACUCCAUAGACGUAUUAUAAACUUUGUAGUCCAUGGGAAAUGAACAUAGCUGCAAAUUAAGAAAAACAAAGCAGUCGAGGAGAGAACGAGCUCACCUAUGAGGUUGCAGCCGAGGCAGUAGCACAGCUCGUCGCUGCAACUGAGCUCGACACGCUACCUCCAUGUGUCCGGCCUUUUCCGCGAGUUGCCCCAUGCGUCCAGCCUCCUCCGAGCACUGUCUCCUCACAAACAAGUAGGGGUAGAAAAAACAUGAAUUGUAACUUAUCAACCGAGCGGCAGCAACAAUCAGCGACAUAUCACCGAUCAACAACAGGACACUAACCGAAAAACGCAGCCAAUAGCAAAAUCAGGAGCAGGAUAAAACUAAUAAUAUAAUGAAAAGAAUGCCCACAAGAGAAGCAUGCACAAUCCUAUGAAAUCAGAAUCAAUUAGUUCACCUACUGACACCCAUCUACCAGGAUCAAACAAGGCGUCCAGGAUCAAACAAACAAAGCAAGGAAAGAUACAGCCCCUUCCUUGCAAUCUAGCUAGACCGCUAAUGUAACAACAAAGUUUCUAGAAGAAUCUAACAGCAAUCAUAUAUAAAAAAAGCGCAAGUAAAUAUGGUCAUGCAUAUUUUGAAGCCACCAAAGCUGUCCUUAUGUCGAAAAUUGAAAUAAACGAUGGUACAAAGAGGAGAAAUAAUGAAAAUAACAUGAAGGAGUCAGAACCCAGAAAUCAUAUGUAACUAAACUAUGAGAAACCAUGCAUAUUACCUCAAGAAUCUAUAUAGACCUAAGCUUCUCUUUAACAGGCAGAAAACCAAGCAAUGAAACAGAUAGCCUAGCUAAAUCCAAGGACCUACUUGACGGCAAGGCACCAACAAAACAAGAAAGCCCCCCAAAAGUCCUCCUCUGGAACCUAGCUACCUAAGAAUCUGCUGCACAAGAAGAAACCCAAGGCAUUUUUGCUAGCCAGUCCUACAAAAUGGUACAUGAACAUAAGAGGGGAAGGAGCUCAACCAGCAGGAGCAUGACCAGUGCGGCCACACGCGGCAGAGGUGAAGCAUAGAUCGCUCGGAAUCGCGUGUGUAAGGAAGAACCCAACAACACGGUACAUGCGAGUAGCACCAGCAAACAAAUCAGUAGGUUACUUCUAGGACAUAGCACCUCGAUCACUCUUUACAUGAACAAUCCAGCAUUAUCUACUAAAAAACUAUCAACAAAAAUCUUGUAGCAUUAUUAUUUGUAGCAUGUAAGAACAAAUAGCUGCAAAUGGUAACUUGCGAAAAAAUAGAAGUAGUAGUGUCACAGCAAAUUAAAACAAGCCAUUCAACCAUUGCGGGGAGCGGGUCAAAGUGCGACUUACUCUUAUAACCAGAUUAAAUCAAGGACCAACAACAAUAUAGAUACAACAAAGUGCGACUGUACAUAUUCUACAAAACACACCACUGCACCAUGUAGAUACAACACAUAUCAAUUAGAAGGGGCAACUUGUGCCCUGUUUAUGAGAGAAAGAAAUCAAAUAAUAUUUGUAACAGUAGAUUGAGAUAUGAUGAGAAUACCUAAUCAGUAAAGCAUCACUACCCAACCAUAAGCAUAAAGGAAGUAAUAUGAGCUGAAAUCUCUGAUGGCAUAAAAAAUUAGAGCAUGUCUGACAUAACAUUUUGAAGUUACAAAUGGUAAAUAAACUACAACNNNNNNNNNNNNNNNNNNNNNNNNNNNNNNNNNNNNNNNNNNNNNNNNNNNNNNNNNNNNNNNNNNNNNNNNNNNNNNNNNNNNNNNNNNNNNNNNNNNNNNNNNNNNNNNNNNNNNNNNNNNNNNNNNNNNNNNNNNNNNNNNNNNNNNNNNNNNNNNNNNNNNNNNNNNNNNNNNNNNNNNNNNNNNNNNNNNNNNNNNNNNNNNNNNNNNNNNNNNNNNNNNNNNNNNNNNNNNNNNNNNNNNNNNNNNNNNNNNNNNNNNNNNNNNNNNNNNNNNNNNNNNNNNNNNNNNNNNNNNNNNNNNNNNNNNNNNNNNNNNNNNNNNNNNNNNNNNNNNNNNNNNNNNNNNNNNNNNNNNNNNNNNNNNNNNNNNNNNNNNNNNNNNNNNNNNNNNNNNNNNNNNNNNNNNNNNNNNNNNNNNNNNNNNNNNNNNNNNNNNNNNNNNNNNNNNNNNNNNNNNNNNNNNNNNNNNNNNNNNNNNNNNNNNNNNNNNNNNNNNNNNNNNNNNNNNNNNNNNNNNNNNNNNNNNNNNNNNNNNNNNNNNNNNNNNNNNNNNNNNNNNNNNNNNNNNNNNNNNNNNNNNNNNNNNNNNNNNNNNNNNNNNNNNNNNNNNNNNNNNNNNNNNNNNNNNNNNNNNNNNNNNNNNNNNNNNNNNNNNNNNNNNNNNNNNNNNNNNNNNNNNNNNNNNNNNNNNNNNNNNNNNNNNNNNNNNNNNNNNNNNNNNNNNNNNNNNNNNNNNNNNNNNNNNNNNNNNNNNNNNNNNNNNNNNNNNNNNNNNNNNNNNNNNNNNNNNNNNNNNNNNNNNNNNNNNNNNNNNNNNNNNNNNNNNNNNNNNNNNNNNNNNNNNNNNNNNNNNNNNNNNNNNNNNNNNNNNNNNNNNNNNNNNNNNNNNNNNNNNNNNNNNNNNNNNNNNNNNNNNNNNNNNNNNNNNNNNNNNNNNNNNNNNNNNNNNNNNNNNNNNNNNNNNNNNNNNNNNNNNNNNNNNNNNNNNNNNNNNNNNNNNNNNNNNNNNNNNNNNNNNNNNNNNNNNNNNNNNNNNNNNNNNNNNNNNNNNNNNNNNNNNNNNNNNNNNNNNNNNNNNNNNNNNNNNNNNNNNNNNNNNNNNNNNNNNNNNNNNNNNNNNNNNNNNNNNNNNNNNNNNNNNNNNNNNNNNNNNNNNNNNNNNNNNNNNNNNNNNNNNNNNNNNNNNNNNNNNNNNNNNNNNNNNNNNNNNNNNNNNNNNNNNNNNNNNNNNNNNNNNNNNNNNNNNNNNNNNNNNNNNNNNNNNNNNNNNNNNNNNNNNNNNNNNNNNNNNNNNNNNNNNNNNNNNNNNNNNNNNNNNNNNNNNNNNNNNNNNNNNNNNNNNNNNNNNNNNNNNNNNNNNNNNNNNNNNNNNNNNNNNNNNNNNNNNNNNNNNNNNNNNNNNNNNNNNNNNNNNNNNNNNNNNNNNNNNNNNNNNNNNNNNNNNNNNNNNNNNNNNNNNNNNNNNNNNNNNNNNNNNNNNNNNNNNNNNNNNNNNNNNNNNNNNNNNNNNNNNNNNNNNNNNNNNNNNNNNNNNNNNNNNNNNNNNNNNNNNNNNNNNNNNNNNNNNNNNNNNNNNNNNNNNNNNNNNNNNNNNNNNNNNNNNNNNNNNNNNNNNNNNNNNNNNNNNNNNNNNNNNNNNNNNNNNNNNNNNNNNNNNNNNNNNNNNNNNNNNNNNNNNNNNNNNNNNNNNNNNNNNNNNNNNNNNNNNNNNNNNNNNNNNNNNNNNNNNNNNNNNNNNNNNNNNNNNNNNNNNNNNNNNNNNNNNNNNNNNNNNNNNNNNNNNNNNNNNNNNNNNNNNNNNNNNNNNNNNNNNNNNNNNNNNNNNNNNNNNNNNNNNNNNNNNNNNNNNNNNNNNNNNNNNNNNNNNNNNNNNNNNNNNNNNNNNNNNNNNNNNNNNNNNNNNNNNNNNNNNNNNNNNNNNNNNNNNNNNNNNNNNNNNNNNNNNNNNNNNNNNNNNNNNNNNNNNNNNNNNNNNNNNNNNNNNNNNNNNNNNNNNNNNNNNNNNNNNNNNNNNNNNNNNNNNNNNNNNNNNNNNNNNNNNNNNNNNGGCUCCUCUUUGAUCCGACAGCGCAGGUCAUCCGGCGGCUCGAUCCGACGGCCAAGAUCAGAUUAAGCAACCAGAUCCAACGGCCAGGAAUGCCAAGCGGCUGAGGAGGCUGGAGGAUGACUGGAAUCCUUAUUUCUCGAUUCGUUUGCCCCAUGCGAGUGCAUCCCCCAAAGGCCGCAACCUCUUCUACACCACCGCUUAUGGUUGAAGUUGUUGCCGUCCUCCCCCUGCUUCUUGGACGGUUCGCCUCUGCUUGAGCAUGACUGCGGCGUCCCGCCCAAUUGGCCUUGACAAUGCUCCUCGGCCUCAGCUAAAGCCACUGGCCCGUUCCACUGAUGUUUAGAAUUGCUGCUCAUGCAUCUGCUUGCCACUUUGCCGACAAUGCUACUCGUCGACCCGUGCAACUCUAGCAUGUUGGCUACUUGUCGCGUGCCUCUUGGACCAGAUAGUUUCUAAAUCGAUGCAUUGAAGUUAAACUACAUAGUUGACCUUUUAAGUUUGGGAGCACUUGGUCAGGCAGCUAAAAACUGGUUUUGUUUCAGUUGAUUUGCUCUCCCUCUUUCAACUAUCUUAUUUAAAUCCAAAGCCUCAUGUUUUUCAUCCUCCUGCCAUCGAAGCGACAAUGUUCUUUUUGAUGGAAAUAUUCCCUAGAGGCAAUAAUAAAAUGGUUAUUAUUAUAUUUCCUUAAUCAUGAUAAAGGUUUAUUAUUCAUGCUAGAAUUGUAUUAAUCAGAAACUUAAAUACAUGUGUGGAUACAUAAACAAAUACCAUGUCUCUAGUGAGCCUCUACUAGACUAGCUUGUUGAUCAAAAGAUGGUUAAGGUUGCCUAACCAUAGACAUGUGUUGUCACUUGAUAACGGGAUCACAUCAUUAGGAGAAUGAUGUGAUGGACAAGACCCAUCUAUUAGCUUAGCAUCUGAUCGUUCAGUUUAUUGCUACUGCUUUCUUAAUGCCAAAUACAUGUUUCUUCAACCAUGAGAUCAUGCAACUCCCGUAUAUCGGAGGAAUACCUUGUGUGCUAUCAAAGGUCACAACGUAACUGGGUGAUCAUAAAGAUGCUCUACAGGUAUCUCCGAAGGUGUCUGUGGAGUUGGCGUGAAUCGAGAUUGGAAUUUGUUACUCCGUAUGGCGGAGAGGUAUCUCUGGGCCCUCUCGGUAAUACACAUCACAAGAAGCUUGCAAGAAAAAUGACUACGGAGUUAGUUACGAGAUGAUGUAUUACGAAACGAGUAAAGAGACUUGCCGGUAAUGAGAUUGAACUAGUUAUGGAGAUAUCAACGAUCGAAUCUCGGGCAAGUAACAUACCGACAGACAAAGGGAAUUACGUAUGCUGUCAUAACGGUUUGAUCGAUAAAUAUCUUUGUAGAAUAUGUAGGAACCAAUAUGGGCAUCCAAGUUCCGCUAUUGGUUAUUUACCGGAGAGGUGUCUCGGUCAUGCCUACAUAGUUCUCGAAGCCAUAGGGUCCACACUUUUAACGUUCGUUGAUGAUAUAGUGUUCUAUGAGUUAUAUUAUUUGGUGACGGAAUGUUGUUCGGAGUCCCGGAUUAGGUCAUGGACAUGACGAGGAGCUCCGGAAUGGCCCGGAGGUAAAGAUCGAUAUAUAGGUCGAUGAUAUUUGGACACCGAAAGAGUUUUGGGAGGUACCGGGUAGUCAUCGGAUCAUCAGAAGUGGUUCCGGGAAGCCCCGGGAGGCUAUAUGGCUUAAUGGGCCAAAGGAGGAACACACCAGCCCACAAGGGGCUGGUGCGCCCCUCUCCCUGGCCGCCGGCCCUAGGGGAAGGAAAGGGGGAGGGUUGGCCCCUCCUUCCUUUCCCUCCUCAUGAGAGAAAGAAAAGGGCGGGGGGGGGGGGGCACCUCCCCCUGCCUUCCUCCCGCGCACAUACAAGGAAAGGGGGCGGCCAAGGGCAGGAGCCCAAGAGGGCUUCGGCCAUCCUUGGGGCACCUCCUGGCUGCCUCCCCUCUCCCCCACCUAUAUAUAUGUGGGAGGGGGCGCCACACAAGGACCACGUCGAUCUCUUAGCCGUGUGCGGCACCCCUCUCCAUAGUUUCAUCCAUCAGUCAUAUUUUCAUAGUGCUUAGGUGAAGCCUUGCGUAAAUAGCAUCACCACCACCAUCACCACUUCGCCCGUCUUGCUGGAUCAAGAUGGCGAGGACGUCACCGAGAUGAACAUGUGCUGAAAGCAAAGGUGUCGUAUGUUCGGUACUUGAUUGGUUGGACCGUGAAGAAGUUCGACUAUAUCAAUUGCGUUAAUAAAUGCUUCCGCUUACGGUCUACGAGGGUACAUAGACACACUCUCCCCUCUUGUUGCUAUGCAUCUCCAUGGAUACAUCUUGCGUGUGCAUAUUUUUUUUUUGUUUUCCAUGCGACGUUCCCCAACACUUCUUCCUCACUGAACCUAUGAUUUCUCUCCCUCCUAUUGAUAAUCCCCAAGUGCAGGGAAUCAUAGUAGCAAUUCCCAAAGGUGGAAGUGAUAAGUAUGGAGUGUCGAACCCACAAGGAGCUAAAGGUAAGAUCAAUAUUCUCUCAAGCCCUAUCUGCCACUGAUACGACUCUAGUGCACCGAACGUUUGCUUCCAACUAGCAACGAGAAAUAAAACUAUGUUGUGGGUAUGUAGAGGAUAACUUUGUAUGAUAUCGGAGAGCUAAAACAUAAAAGUAGGUGUUGUUAUCAUAAAGUUAGAAUAUAAUACUAAAUAUUAUAAAUAGCGAGUGUGGAAUAAUGGUGGAUCGGUGUGCGGAAUUGUCCUAGGCAAUAGUUAACAAGACUGAUAAUCACUAUUGCAGUUUCAUAUGAGGGAGAGGCAUAAGCUAACAUACUUUCUCUUCUUGGAUCAUAUGCACUUAUGAUUGGAACUCUAGCAAGCGUCGUCAACUACUGAAGAUCAUAAAGGUAACAACCAACCAUAGCAUUAAAGCAUCAAGUCCUCUUUAUUCCCAUACACAACAACCUACUUACUCGGAUUUGUGUUUUAGUCACUCACGCAACCCACUAUAAGCGAAUCAUGAACGUAUUGCAACACCCUACAGCGGGAAUCCCUCAUGCUUGCGCGACACGGAGGGCACCAUAGGACAGCAUCAAAGUAAAACAUACAACUCAUACCAAUCUAAAUCAUCAAUCAACCCAAAGACAAAAGAUAUCUACUCAAAACAUCAUAGGAUGGCAACACAUCAUUGGAUCAUAAUAUGUGGCAUAGAGCACCAUGUUCCAGUAGGGAUUACAGCGGGGUGCGGGAGAGUGGACCGCGUAAAAGAGAUGAGGAUGGUGAUGAUGAUGGUGAUGUUGAUGAAGACGAUCACCGCGGCGAUGAUUCCCCUCCCGAUGGCACUCCGGUGCCACCAAGAGAGAGCAGGAGAGGUUCUCCCCCUUGUGCUUCCUCCUCCAUGACUUUCCCCCUCUGGUCCUUGGCCUUGAUGGUGAUGAUGGCCCCUCCGAGAUCCUCCUCCAUGGCCCCCGGUGAUGAUGGCCCCCUCCGGCAGGGUGCCGGAGAGGUCCUAGAUUGAUUUCUCAUGGCUACAGAGGCUUGCGGUGGGGGAACUUAUGAUCUAGGUCAAUUCCCGAAGGUUUCUGUAUUUAUAGGAAUAUUUGGCGUUGGUUUCACGUCAGGGGGGUCUCUGGGCUGUCCACGAGAUAGGGGGCGCGCCCCCCACUCUCGUGGGCAGCCCGGGACUCUUCUGGCCCAACUCUGAUGCUCCGUGGUCUUCUUUUGGUCCAUAAAAAAUCCUCAAAAAUUGGCACGUCAAUUGGACUCCGUUUGGUAUCCCUUUUCUGUAAAACACAAAAACUAGGAGAAAACAGAAAUUGGCACUGGGCUCUAGGUUAAUAGGUUAGUCCCAAAAAUCAUAUAAAAUGACAUAUAAAUGCAUAUAAAACAUCAUAGAUGAAUAAUAUAAUAGCAUGAAUACUUCAUAAAUUAUAGAUAUGUUGGAGACGUAUCAGCAUCCCCAAGCUUAAUUCCUGCUCUUCCGCGAGUAGGUAAAUGAUAAAAGAAAUAAUUUAUGAAGUGUGAAUGCUAGUAGGUGGACAAGUUUGAUCAAUGAUAAUUUCAAUCAUCUUUUCUAGCAUCAAAAUGUGUCAUAAUAGUAGCUUAUCUCAUAAAACUUUUCAUGAUCAAGUAACAAUCUAUUCACAAUGUCAAGUAUGGUUCAGAAACUUCAUUGAGAACUAACAAACUAUAAUCUCAGUCAUUUAAGCAAUUGCAAUUUAUCAUAACAUCAGAAAGAGUCAAGAAUAGAGCUUUUUAGCAAGUCAACAUACUCAACUAUCAUAUAGUCUUCUACAAUUGCUAACACUCACGCAAUACUUGUGGUUAGGGAGUUUCAGCCAGACACUGAGAAAGAUAGGGGCUUAUUGUGUUGCCUCCCAACGUAUUCACCUUUAGGUGAUGUCAACUAUAAUAGCCCAUGCUAACUUACAUCCAAUUGGAUAUAUAUAUCAUGAUCUUUCAAACACAAGGAGCUUGCCAAAGGACAAAAUGAAAAAGGGAAAGGUGAGGAUCACCUUGACUCAAGCAUAAAGUAAAAACAUAAAGUAAAAGAUAGGCCCUUCGCAGAGGGAAGCAGAGGUUGUCUUGUGCGUUUAGGGUUGGAUGCAUAAAAUCUUAAUGCAAAAGAACGUCACUUUAUAUUGCCCCUUGUAUGUUGACCUUUAUUAUGCAGUCCGUCGCUUUUAUUGCUUCCACAACAAGAUCGUACAAAGCUUAUUUUCUCUGCACUAAUAAGUCAUACAUAUUUAGAUAGCAAUUUUUAUUGCCUGCAACAUGACCACUUGAAGGAUCUUACUCAAUCCAUAGGUAGGUAUGGUGGACUCUCAUGGCAAAACUGGGUUUAAGGAUAUUUGGAAACACAAGUAGUAUCUCUACUUAGUGCAAGGAAUUUGGCUAGCAUGAGGGGGAAAGGCAAGCUCAACAUACUUGGAAGGUCAAUGACAAUAUACUUUAACUGAGAUGUGAGAAAACACAAAUCAUUAUGUUGUCUUCCUUGUCCAACGUCAACUCUUUUAGCAUGUCAUAAUUAAUGAGUGCUCCCUAUCAUAAAAGAUGUCCAAGAUAAUAUAUUUGUAUGUGAACCUCUCUUUCCUUAUUACUUCCUAUUAAUUGCAACGAUGACCAAAACUACGUUUACCAACUCUCAACAACUUUUAUGCCUCAUACUGUUUAUAUGUGAAGUCAUUACUAUCCAUGUUAUAAUCAUAAUAAAACAUAUAGAAAUUCAGAUUCAUGACAUUCAAUUCAUUCCCCCAUUUACUCAUAGGAUGAACAUGAAGCACAUGAGUAAAUGACAAACUACUCCAAAAGAUAUGAGUGAAAGACAUGGAGUAGUCAAAUAAUUAACUAGCCAUGGGAGGGUUCCUUUUUUAUUCAAUAUUCAGAUCCAAUGAUUUUAUUCAAACAGCAAGUAAAAUCGAAAACACGCUCCAAGCAAAACACAUAUCAUGUGACGAAUAAAAAUAUAGCUCCGAGUAAGAUGUACCGAUAGUUUUGAAGACGAAAGAGGGGAUGCCUUCCGGGGCAUCCCCAAGCUUAGGCGCUUGAGUCUUCCUUGAAUAUUACCUUGGGGUGCCUUGGGAAUCCCCAAGCUUAGGGUCUUUCCACUCCUUAUUCUACUCAUAUCGAUAUCUCGCCCAAAACUUGAAAACUUCAAUCACACAAAACUUAAUGGAACUUCGUGAGAUAGGUUAGUAUGAUAAAGAGUAAACCAUGCACUUUGGUACUGUAAAAGACAAGGUUAAUAAUUGUUUUCACAUAAUGCAUACUGUACCAUAUCAUUUCUACAAUUUAUAUUGAGAAAUAUAAGCCAUAGAAACUAGAAAACAAGCAAACUAUGCAGUGAAAACAGAAUCUGUCACAAAUAGAACAGUCUGUAAUGAUCUGAGCAAUAACCAUACUUCUGCUACUCCAAAAAUUAUGAAAUAAAUUGGUGGACAUGAGGAAUUUGUCUACUAAUCUUCUGCAAAAAGAAUAAACUCAAAGUCACACUUCUGUAAAAAAUGACAGCUAAUCUCGUGAGCGCAAAGUUUCUAUUUUUUACAGCAAGAUCACAUUAACUCUCACCCAAGUCUUCCCAAAGGUCUUACUUGGCACUUUAUUGAAACAAAAGCUAUAAAACAUGAUUACUACAGUAGCUUAAUCAUGUAGACACACAAAAACAGUCAGGAUAAAUAUUGGGUUGUCUCCCAACAAGCGCUUUUAUUUAAUGCCUUUUAGCUAGGCAUGAUGAUUUCAAUGAUGCUCGCAUAAAAGAAAAGAGUUGAAACACAAAGAGAGCAUCAUGAAGAAUAUGACUAGCACAUUUAAAUCUAACUCACUUCAUAUGCCUGGGGAUUUUGUGAGCACACAACUUAUGGGAACAAGAAUCAACUAGCAUAGGAAGGCAAAACAAGUUUAACUUCAAAACUUAAAGCUCAUAGAGAGGAAACUUGAUAUCAUUGCAACUCCUACAAGUAUAUAUUCCCCCCUCAUAAUAGUUUUCAGUAUCAUCAUGGAUAACAACCUUUUUUCUCAUACUAAAUUGGAACCUCUUCCGAAAUAGUGGAAUACUAACUAAAGUUGACACUCUUCCAAAUCCACUUUCAUGAAUAUCGUACAAUGAUUCAACACCCUCCAAGAUAGUGGGAUCACUAAUUCCUAAAGUUGACACUCUUCCAAACCCACUUUAAAUUAUAGUACUAUUCAUACUCCAAAAGAUAUAAGUGAAGUUCCUGGAGCAUUCUAUAAUUAAUAUAGACUAGCCAAUAUCCAAGCUCAAAAUAUAUAAGUGAAGCGCACGAAGCAUUCUAUAAAACCAUACUCAAACGAUAUAAGUGAAGCACAAAGAGCAAUUAUCUAAGAUCAUACUUAAAAGAUAUAAGUGAAGCUAAUGAAGUAUAAAUGAAUGAAGAGCUCUCUCAUAUAUCAUGAUUCUUGAAGAAAAAUAAAAACACAAAGGACAUGAAUCGUGUGAACAAAGCAAAAACCGAGGUAUACCGAUAUUUGUUGAGGAAGAAAGAUGGGAUGCCAACCGGGGCAUCCCCAAGCUUAGAUGCUUGAGUAUCCUUUAAAAUAUUUACUUGGGGUGCCUUGGGCAUCCCCAAGCUUUAACUCUUGUCUCUCUUUAUUCUUCUCACAUCAAUAACUCCUCGUUCUUCAAACACUUCAUUCACAAAAACUUAAAAAAAAAACUUGUGAGAUCCGUUAGUGUAAUAAAGCAAACUACCACUUUAAGGUACUGUAAUUAACAAUUUAUUUAUUUUUAUUGGUGUUAAACCUACUGUAUUCCAACUUCUCUAUGGUUCAUACCCUUACAUACUAGCCAUAGAUGCAUCAAAAUAAGCAAACAAUACACGAAAAACAGAAUCUGUCAAGAACAGGACAGUCUGUAGUAAUCUGGAAGUUCAGUAAACUUCUGUAACUCCAAAAAUUAUGAAAUAAAAUUGAAAAUUUGAAAUAUUUGUACAGAAGUAAUGUGCAAAAAGUUUCAUACCCAUUUGUCUUUCCAGUAAAAAAUGUAAAUUCAUGCACUACAGCCAAAGUUUCUGUUUUUCUGCACAUAGUAAGCAAGCAAUCUUAUCAUACUAAAACCAAAGCUUGGCACACUAUUUUUAUAUUAAAAAGGAUAUAUACAAGGGUAUAAUUAUUUACAGAGAAACUUUCAUGAAAAAUUCUACAUUGUUUCCGUGAGCAUGAACUCAAGUGCUCAAGGUCGACCCUCACUUCUUCAAUGCAUAACUUUCCAAUCACUUCUCUUUUUGAAAAACUUUUUUAGGCAUGACAGGCAAGUAAUUCUUUUUUGGUAUUUUCAUUCUUUUUAAUUUUUGUGUAUGUUUCAUCCACAACUAAACAGAAACAAAAAGGGAAAAUAAAAUCUACUUAGUGAAGAAAGCAAACAAGCACACACGAGAAUAUCAACCCCACGCUAUCACUCCCCGGCAACGGCGCCAGAAAAGAGCUUGAUAAUCCCCAAGUGCAGGGAAUCAUCGUAGCAAUUCCCAAAGGUGGAAGUGAUAAAUAUGGAGUGUAGAACCCACAAAGAGCUAAAGGUAAGAUCAAUAUUCUCUCAAGCCCUAUCUGCCACUGAUACGACUCUACAUGCACCGAACAUUUGCUUCCAACUAGCAACGAGAAAUAAAACUAUGUUGUGGGUAUAUAGAGGAUAACUUUGUAUGAUAUCGGAGAGCUAAAACAUAAAAGUAGGUGCUGUUGUCAUAAAGUUAGUAAAUAAUACUAAAUAUUAUAAAUAGCGAGUGUGGAAUAAUGGUGGAUCGGUGUGCGAAAUUGUCCUAGGCAAUUGUUAACAAGACCGAUAAUCACUAUUGCAGUUUCAUAUGAGGGAGAGGCAUAAGCUAACAUACUUUCUCUUCUUGGAUCAUAUGCACUUAUGAUUGGAACUCUAGCAAGCAUCCGCAACUACUAAAGAUCAUUAAGGUAAAACCCAACCAUAGCAUUAAAGCAUCAAGUCCUCUUUAUUCCCAUACGCAACAACCUACUUACUUGGUUUGUGUUUCAGUCACUCACGCAACCCACUAUAAGCGAAUCAUGAACGUAUUGCAACACCCUACAGCAGGAAUCCCUCAUGCUUGCGCGAUACAGAGGGCACCAUAGGACAACAUCAAAGUAAAACAUACAACUCAUACCAAUCUAAAUCAUCAAUCAACCCAAAGACAAAAGAUAUCUACUCAAAACAUCAUAGGAUGGCAACACAUCAUUGGAUCAUAAUAUGUGGCAUAAAGCACCAUGUUCAAGUAGGGAUUACAGCGGGGUGCGGGAGAGUGGACCGCGUAAAAGAGAUGAGGAUGGUGAUGACGAUGGUGAUGUUGAUGAAGACGAUCACCGCGGCGAUGAUUCCCCUCCCGAUGGCACUCCGGUGCCACCAAGAGAGAGGAGGAGAGGUUCUCCCCCUUGUGCUUCCUCCUCCAUGGCUUUCCCCCUCUGGUCCUUGGCCUUCAUGGUGAUGAUGGCCCCUCCGAGAUCCUCCUCCAUGGCCUCCGGUGAUGAUGGCCCCCUCCGGUAGGGUGCCGGAGAGGGCCUGGAUUGAUUUCUCAUGUCUACAGAGGCUUGCGGCGGCGAAACUUUUGAUCUAGGUCAAUUCCCGAAGGUUUCUGUAUUUAUAGGAAUAUUUGGCGUUGGUUUCACGUUAGGGGGGUCUCCGGGCUGUCCACGAGAUAGGGGGCGCGCCCCCACUCUCGUGGGCAGCCCGGGACUCUUCUAGCCCAACUCCGAUGCUCCGUGGUCUUCUUUUGGUCCAUAAAAAAUCCUCAAAAAUUGGCACGCCAAUUGGACUCCGUUUGGUAUCCCUUUUCUGUAAAACACAAAAACAAGGAGAAAACAGAAACUCGCACUGGGCUCUAGGUUAAUAGGUUAGUCCCAAAAAUCAUAUUAAAUGACAUAUAAAUGCAUAUAAAACAUCAUAGAUGAAUAAUAUAAUAGCAUGAAUACUUCAUAAAUUAUAGAUUGGAGACGUAUCACCUAUCCUUAGCUGAUUUGGCUGCCUCAAAUUCAUUGAGUACUCGUCUGAGCAAUUACCAAGGACUUACUUCUUGUUGCAUUGCUUCAAGAGAUCUUGGAUGAUAGGUCCAUAGUCCGAGAUUUGCACACCACUCGGUGGCGCAUGGUUGACUUGAUCAAUAUAACCAGGCCAUCGGUUGCAUUGGUCUUGCAUGGUACCUCCAUUGGUUACCAAGAGAGCCUUGGAUGUGGCGUUAUGUGACUUCCAUUAUGUUGAUGUAGUACUCUACAAUUCUACCCGAGAGUCGGUCCUUCGAUUGAUCUGGUCCAAUUGAUGCAUCAACUGACAUGUUUGUCCAAGCGUUACACAAUGCAAUAUAUUAAUCUUGGCAAUACUUGUGAGUCCUAGAUAUUGAUGGUGCCCUCGCGCUUGUUGUGACUCCAUAGAACUAUCAACAACUUCCGGAUCCUCCUUGGCGUCGGCCUCCACUUUUGGCACAUAAUCCUCCUCGGGGUCUUCUUGUUGGUCAGACACCGAGUUAUAGUUGAGAUCUUCAAGCCCAAGCAUAUGUGACUCCUCCAAAGAUGAACAAAGUUUGUUUGUGUUCUUCUCCGCACUAUGACAACAAGCACAUCACCCUAGGGCCGCAAGCAAUCACCAUACAAUGCACCGAUCGAUAUGAAAAUACAUUUAUUUACCUUGAUGGCAUUUGUUUGACCACUUGGCGGCCACGACCCUUGGUGAUGGCAGUGGCGGCCGGACGAGCAACCGUAAGGGUGGCCGAAGAUGUGGUGCGAGGCACCAGAGGCAUCUUAUUCUUAUUAUCCUCGCUAUAUCCUCGGUGAGCGCUGACGCGGGUCUCAUCGACCUCCUUGCCCGCUUGUCAGAGGCUGGAGCAGCGGGAGGGCUGCCUCACAUCUUCAAAGAAGCAGUGGUCUUUCCACCGACCUUGCUACCGGCGAUGCUUGCCUGUGUGGUGGCAUGUGUGGGUUUUAAGUGCCUAGCUUCUUCCUUGUUGUGGGCAGCGGCACAGGGCUCAUUUCCUGAUGCGUCGCGCUGGCGGUGGUGGCUGGCAAGGUGGUGGAAGGGUCUUACAUGUACAUCAUUUUGUCCUCGGGUAGGUAGCCGUGUCCGGCCUUCUUGCCGAUGGCGUUUGCACUGCACUCGCAGGUCUUCCUCACAUUCGUCUGCAACUUGACAUGAAAAUAUUUCUGCCACAUGCCAAAGUGGGACUCGACAUAGAGAAAAGCCUCACACAAGGUGAUGAAGCAUGCAAUGUGAAAGAUAGCAAUGAGGGAAGGUAGUGGACUUUGAAGUAGUAAAAAUGCAGGAAACCCCAGAAGGACAGAUUUAUCAGAAAAGCCCAAUCCGUGAAUCAAAAAAGGGAUGAAAUUGACACUCUUAUGCGGAUCAGGCUAUGGGUACACCUCUUCUCGGGCGUCGCCAUUCUCGGUCACGAUGAUGGGAGAGCACGCGAGGACCACGAUAGCUGCGGAAGAUACCCAUCUGCGGCAAGGCGGUCCAACUGGCCACGCUAGUGGAGGGCAUCCAUUUUCCCUUUGUCUUGGAGGUGACCUUGGCUACAACAGUGACAAUCUCCUUUCCAGUGCUGACCAUCUUUCCAUCCGUGGUGAGCUUGUAGCACAUGGCGGCACGGUGGUGAUGUUGGGUUGUGCUAGAGCGAUGGUGCUAUGGCACAGUGAAGUAGCAGGACAACGACAUAGCGCAAAAGCGGUGGAGCUGUUGUUGUGCCAGGAAGAAGAUGAGAACAAGGGAAACAAUAGCAUGAGCUCCCCCUCGCUCCAUCCAUUCCCUUAUAUACGAGGGUGGAAAUGUGAAAUGGCGGCAUGCAAUCAACGCCACCCAGUGGUAAAUCUCUUCAUACCCCCGCGAUGGCGCUAAGUGCACGUGGGGAUUGAGGUGACUCUGUUAAGUGCGUGCGAGAAUCAGGCAUGCUUCCUCUGUUGAUGCAUGGGACGUGGAGUGGGUGGGACCUAUACCCACUCAUGCAUGUCACAUUGACCGCUAGGUCAAGUCUGACACAUGGUCCGGUGGGACCAACUGAUGAGACAGGUCUGCUCUAACAGGACUGUACAGUUUGAACCAUAAAGACGCUAUGCGGGAAUUCAACCCAUGAGGAGCAGACUGCGCGGGAAACAUUUUCGGCACAGGUAGGCUAUCUUCAUCAAUGGCUUAAGACCGAGGUUAAUUACGCUACCCCAAAGGCGGUCUGGCAGCUUGAGACCUAUUACGUGAAGAUGUUGUUAAUUAGGGAGGCUUGGAAGAACAAGUUUCAACCUCGACGACCUAAAGACAAUGUGCAACUUGGUGUUGGCAAGCUUGAACACCAAAUUAGGGCUACUGAUGGUGUCACGGCCCAGGGGUACCUCACCAUGUCAGUUCUCGGCCUGGUGGAGCCCUAGGUCGGUUUCAUCCUGGCUCACUUUGGGCAGCCCGUGACAUUUAUAUGGAAGACUCCAGACGACUUAAUGUACAAGACAAGUGUACGUGAGCUGAGGAGGAGUCUACCUCCACCGAUCUAGUCGACUAGGAUCUGUAAGCCUAGGACCCCUGGUAUGUUGUAUAAGCUGGGGUCGGGCUCGUCGAGAGAUCAUCAGGUAGGUUCCCCUUUGGUAUAUCAUAUCUAAAGCUAAUUUGAUUGAUUUACAAUGAUCCUUUUUUGCAUGAGUAUAGGGAUACAUUUAACCAUGGGGCUCGUAGCUUUCCCAAGGUGGCCACACGAUAUUGGUUCGAUAUCAUGUAUGGCCUCUCUAGCCAGCAUCUUUGCUUGUAUCCUGAACAAUCCUAGAUCUAUAAAGAAAAUCAUGGGUGUAGAAUAAUCCCACACCUGGCAGAUCAAGAUUGGUCGAACAUGAUCCUUAUUUAUAGGAGACAUCUAUUUCUCAAUUGACUAAAAUUUAACGCAAAACUGAUUUAUAAAUUUCUGUAUGAAUCUAAGCAAAAUUUUACCAUGUUGUAAAAAAUGUGUUCAUCUAGUGCAAAGCAGAUGUAGUUUUAACUAAGGCACCACUGAAUUUACAAGUUUCUUCAUACUGAUUUAAAAGUACUGAGAGUGAUAUAAUAGUUCAUUCAGGCGGAAAUCCAAUUUGGCUCUCGGGUGCACAUGCUAUUGCGCGCGAAAAUAAUUUGGAAAUGUCAAAACAAAUCCAACAAAAAAUUUAUGUGUUCAUAGUCACAUCCAAAUGCUACUUACAAACUCUUAGGCAAAAACUUUAAGCAUUUUGGCCAGUGAAAAAAAUAAAAUUAAAUACCAAAUAUUAAUAACAAAUGUCACCUAAAAUUUGUUUUUUUUUUCACCGACGAAACACUGCCGCUCCGUUCCACAUGAAAAUUGUCAAGGAUGACACUAACACGAACAUUUUCAAAAAGAAACUCAUAUUUUUUUAAUGUUUACAAUUUUUUUAUGGUUACUGUUCAUGCAGGAGGAUGUGCUCCCAGGAGCCAAAACGCCUCCCCCGUUGUUCAGGUUAGUUAAAAAAUGCAGUAUUACUCUCAGAGUUGUUGGUUUGAUGGUUAUGUCUAUUGAGCGCUAAGAAAUUAUACGACAAUUGAGAAUUAGGAAAACCACUUUUCAUAUCACAGAAACUUAAAUCGAGAUUUCUAUAAGUUUAUUGAGUUGUGUAGUCCAGCCAAAAUCAGUUUGUAUAAUUUAUUAUAAUUUUCCAUAUCUUAGUAGCACAAGGUUUUGGCACAUGAAAGUACAUUGUAUCCAUCAUUUCCAUAGCAUUCCCCAUUCGCAACAGCACCAUAUGGAACGGUUGCAAUGACUUUUUUCAAAGUUGUAACCACGCCAUUCACAGCUAAGCUUGCACAUAGCAACAUUGUUGGGCGUUUAUAUCUGGCAUGCUCGGAAAGGAGUACACGAAGUCCACAAUCCAGUUGUACCUACAAACAACAAGGUAUAUAUAGCAUCCCCGUUCAUAUUAGCAUAUGUAGUAUAAGUUGCAUGAGUUUAGAUUAUAUGAAUAUCCAAGGUACAUCAUACAUAAUUGGACUAUUGUAAACAUAAACAAAGAGUGUACCUUUGUUUAUCGUAGUUGCUUGACAUGACCAUAAAGUGCUAGACAUCAUCAGAAGAACUACGAAACAUAUAGCCUAUGUGUUGUUCUUGAUAGGUGCCAUGAGGAGUGGUUUCUUAUUCCUUUUUCCUCCUAUACCUGUAUUCUUUAUGGGCGAUAUCUCUCAACCUAUAUUUCUUAUUGUGUUAUUUAUUAGAGGCAUAAAUCUCGAAGGACCCAUUCUUGCUCUUAUAUUAUUUCUCACAUUUAUGUUUUGAUCAUCAUGUGUUUAUAUAUAGUCACUUGAUGUCCGCAAGGUCACUAUAGCAUUUAGAUAUGAUAUACCAAAAUAUAUCUUGUGGAGAACAUGUUACUAAAUGCAACCUAGAUUUUGAUAUUUGAAAUUAAUCACUACUCUGAAAUACCAUACAUAUAGCACAUUAAGUUGUGCCCCCGCAAAAAAAGCAUAUUAAAUAUGUAUCUUCAGUAGUAGUUGUUCUAUCAUGUAGCAUAGUAGACCCAUGUAAGAAAAACAUAUCGGAUAAUAAUCACAACAUUAUUUCUUUAGGAUUCCACAACAUUAAACCAUUAUAUUAUGUCUUUAGCACUCAAUGUAACAAGCAGAAAAGGCCACCCGAAAUAGUUAGAAAUAAGCCUGUAGAUAACCUCUACUACCGGGUUUUGCAUGCACGCAGUUUGCAAAAGGGACACGAAAGAAAGUUGCCCCCUUUUUCUUUGAGCAAAAAAAACCCUUGUCUUGUGGGCAGAGAUAGGCCCAGAUACACAAGGCCGCAACACGGGGCUUGAUUAUAUUUACGACAGAUAUGUUCACUAGCCCACCAACUUGCCUUUCCUUCGCUUCGAGGUUUUCUUAGUGGAAUUCCCUAUUUGCCGCUCAUUACGUCGAACUGUCGAUGCAAAGCACAGAGCUGGGGAUUGAAGCGCUCACGUGGGCCGGCCCGUUAAUCAAUUGGGUCACUUUCUGGUUUUGGGUACCUUCUAGAGUUUCCUAGCCGAGUUUUUCUGGUUUUGGGAAACUUCUAGAAGGUUCCUUGAACCGUAUUUCUUUUUGUCGAUAUUUCUGUUUCUUUUUUUUUCUUUUUUAUUUCUUUUCAUUUCCUUUUCUAUUUCUUUUUUUUCAUUUCCUUUAUAUUUCAAGUCCAUUUUUUAAAAACAAAUCAGGUUUCAAAUUUUGUUCAGAAACUGAAAAAAAAUACGUACUUUUACAGUAUUUUCAAUUUUGUAAAAAAUUUCGUGCUUUCAAAAAUUGUUCAUAAAUUCAAAUAAUGUUCGCAUUUUCAAAAAAUUGUACGGGCAUUUCAAAAAGUGUUCCCAUUUUCCAUAAAUUGUUCAGAAUAUUUUUUUUAUUUUUUGUAACUUUUCAAAUAAUGACUGGGAUUUAAAAAAUGGUUAUGUUUUAAAAAAUUGUUCUUGUUUCCAAAUUUUGCUGACAUAUUCAAAAAUGUUCAUGUUCCAAAUUUGAUUGGAAUUUUUAAAAUUGUUCUCUGUUUCUAACUUUGGUCUAAAAAUGUUCUUGUUUCCAUUUCUGUUUCUUUCUUUGUUUCUUUUUUAAUUUUUAUGUUUUUUUCGAAAAAAUUUCAUUUUUCAAAAAUUGUUCGUAACCUUUAAAAAGUUGUUCCCACUUUUAAAAAACGUUCAUUUUUUUUAAAAUGUUCGUGUUUUCCAAAUUUGUUCAUAAAUUCAAAAAAUGUUCGCAUUUUAAACAAAAUGUUUUGGGAUUUAAAAAUGUUACCUUUUAAAAAAAGGUUUGUCUUUGCAAAUGGCAACCCCUCGCAAUGAAUGUUCGCCAGCUAUUGCAGUCUAAAAGAUGAUGUGUCCAGAUCUGUAGUCUGAAGAGGUGUGAGCGUUUUGUAAAAUAUUGACAAUUUUAAAAACUGUACACGAUUUUGUUUACAAGAUUUUCACAAAUUUGAUGUAUUUUAGUUUUAUUUGAAAUAAACAAAUAUUUUCCUUUUAGGGGAAAGUGGAAACCUGUAAAAGCAUAUAAAAUCACUAGAAACACAUAGCGUCAUUUAGGAGCUCCCUUUGCUGAUCUGUUGCAAUAUAGAUCUUGAGUCAUCUUAUAACUCACUCACUGCAAUGUUAUUGAUGGCAAAACGCACAUGGAAAAAGGAUUUCCUUCUUGAGCCACGUGGCUCAGAUCGCUCCCAAUUUUCUUUCUCUUUUUUUAUCCAGAUUUCCGUCAGUUUAAACCAAAAAAUAGCUCUCUUGCUUAUGUAGUUAAAUUUAAAAAAUAUCAAACAGUGAUAUAAAAGUACAUGAUUUUACAUGAAUAAUUAAACUGUUUGUGAAUUUUCAAAAAUGAUCUUGAAUUAACAAAAUGUUCAUAGGUGUAAACAGAUGUUCUUCUUUUAUGAAAAUGCUGAGGAAUUUAUAAAAUUGUGGAAUUUAUAAAAAUACGAAAUUCAAUAAUGUUCUAUAAUCUUCAAAACAUGUUGGUGUUUUUAAAAAACACGUAUUUCAAAAAUAAUUGUAGUUUGAAAAGGAUUAUGUAUUUCAUAAUAUAUUCUUGAAUUUCAAAAUUGUACAUAAUUUUAAUAAAUGUUCAUGAAGUUGAAAUUCAUAAAUAAAAAUAAAAGGUAUAGAGAAAAAUCAGAUGGAAAUCCUAGAAAACCACAAGAACAUGGGGCGUGAUGUGCACUCUACCUAUGCAUUAAUCGAACACUUUUUUGCAAUGAGCGACAACUACAUUUUACAAUGGCUUGCUACACGCAUGAGCUGUUGCUCCCAUGUCCUACUAGAUCGGGAUCGCGCCUUGACGCGAGGGUGCCGGUCCCAAUGUUUUGCCGAAGCACUAUUUUAGUAUAAACCCAGGUAUAGUAUUUGCACUUAUAUAGAAUAAUAAAGCAAAUUUAGAUAGAAGUAAAACAAAAUGAAUCUCAAUACCGACAUGAGAUUAUAAGGCAGGAUCAAACUAAGUGUGUUCAUAAGACCAUAAAAGAUGGCCACUCAACAUAAAAUUCGAUACCAAAAGCGAGAAUACAUAAAAGGUAAUAAGAACAACAAGAUAAUAAAGGAGAGCCAAUUGUGGAGCCAUAACCACUAAGCAUACGGGAGGAGCUCCAUUGUGUUAGCCACCUCAGUCUUGCGAUGCUUGGCAUCCUGUAGCCACCUCUUUCUUCAGAUUUUGGAGCCUCUUAGAAUAUAUAAAUGGUAUAGGUGCCCUGUCAAGGAAAAAAAAUAGAUAAAUACAGAUUGUGUGUCUUAUUUUUAUUGUGGUGUCAAUCGAGGAAAAAGGAUGAUGCACGACUACAGAACACCAAACUACAAUCCGAUGAUCAACCAACUAUACAAAUCAUAGAGGGAUCUCCUGGGCACUAAGCCCUUAUAAAAGGGUUUCAAGGUAUCCACUUUAUCACCAGCCUACAAAUAAAAUAUAUAAGGUGGGGGCAAGGGAAGGACUAAAAUAAAAAGAAGUACUCGCUUGGUAAUGCAUACUGGAAAGACAUGUUGCUGGUAAGGAUCUCCUCUACUCAGGAAAAAUAAAAAGAUAGGAGGCGCGUGGUGCCUGCCUCAACAUAUUGUCCAUGUGCUUAAACAAAGCAUUUAGUGUUGUCAAAUGGGAAUUAGAACGAUUGCUUGGGAUGAAUCAGCCCUUGCCAAAUGGAAACUAAAAUAAUUGUGCAGGAUAGAUCAACCCAAUACAGUAAGUUUAGAUCAAUAGCAAUACAGAAGGGUGAGACAGCCUGUUAUACCAAAAGCAAGGCAAGCCAGAAGUUCAUGACAAAGGGGAGACAUAUAUUUGGUGGCAAAAGUAAGCCAAAAUGAUGGGUUCUUGUUAAGUAGAUAAAAUAGUUGGGUUAUUAGAUAGCGAAAGCAAGCCAGAGUAGCGAAUAAGAUUCCUAUAUAGUUUUAACAAUCCUAUGUAGUUCUGCUAUAAUUAAAGAACCAAUGAUGCAUCAAUAUAACUAAUAUACAGUAGUUAACAUGAAGAAUGCCGAGCAGUGCCCUUUUACAAAAGGAGAGGACAAUCAGAUGUUCGCAUAACACAUCACAGCAGCUAGUGGUAUGACACAUCAUUUGGAAGUUAUUGGGGCCAAAGCCAACCAUAUAGCUAAGAGAAAAAGCGCCUGCACAUGAAGCAUUGUCACUAACCCUGAAUGAAGGGUUCUACUUUCAAGUGUUUGUGAAGAACAUGGUGUAUAAGUCACAGCCCAGGAUCACCGCGACACUUUAAUCUCAACAUCAAUACACUUCCAAUACCACUAAGGGAAAAUAGAGUUAAAAUUCAUGUGAGAACAAAAUAGAAACAACUGUGGUCAAAAUGCAUAAUCCUUGCUCAAAUCAAAUUGAUAAUCACCAGAUGGUAUAUAUUUUGGCUCCCUCCUAGAUCAAAUUAAUUUACACUUAUGGAGGAUUGUUAUUAACAAAGUAACCGACAAAGAAGUGAUCGCCAGUUGCACUGUCUACUUAUGUCUUUAUGAAUGCAAAUGCAAGUGGAAGCUACCGAGGUUCGGUAAAUAGGGAUUGACCAGUAGCUUUUUUCCGAACUGGAAGGAACAAAGUCUCACUUCUACCCAAACCGAGUGGAGAGCACAUCCUAUCAUUCUUUUGAUCUCUAGAUUUCAUCCAAUUGAGAUUUUCAUUCCGUCAUUUCAAGGAAAUGGUGUACACCAAUUUAAGAAGUUUAGGAGUAUGUCAUAAAAGAAGUUUCAGGUGUGCAUAUCGUUACAAGCUUGAAAUACUGACAUAAAAGCUUGAAAUAUGAGAUUGUGCAUGUAGAAAUAAAUAAGAAAUUAUAUGUCAAACAAAUUUAUGUUUUCUGCCAUUCCAGAAAUUCUAAUUUCUUAAUGAGCCGACUUGCAUACGUCUCUCUCCGAAGGAAAGACCAUUUCUAAUUACAGAAAAGGGAUAUGUACAAUGGUAGACAUAUGUGUUGGUCGAUAAUACCUCAAAUGGCGCACCACUAAGAUUUUCCAUUACCAGCUUCUUAUGGAUCAGUGAUACAGAGCUCUCUGCUUGUGCCUGAAUUGGCAGCUUCCUCUAGACCAGCAAUAAAAUUAAUAGAUUAAGAGAGUACCUCAGCAAACUCAAGAUUAAUUUAUACUCCAUAAACUAAUAUAAGUUCAGGGAGGUAGUACCUAAACAGAUCCAUAAAAUCUUUUAUUCUUUCCAGAAAAUGUAGAAUUAUCCAACAUGUAAGGGGUGAACCACCAUCACGACACCAGCAUCUAGAAUAAGUUGAUUUGCAGAAGCAUUGCCACUAAGAAUAAUGCAUAACAAUGAUUUUUUCCCUACAUAUAAGGGGAGGCCUCAAACUUAAUCCUUUACUUCCAUAGCACAUCAUACAAUGUCCCCUUAAAAGAGUUCUUCGAAAUAGCAUGCAAGCUCCAUAUCGAAUGGGGAGCAACGGAGGAGGCCACCCGCGACCAUGGCGUCCGACCAAGGCAUCGUUGUUCCGUCCAGCUCGGCCAUGUGCGGGGCGUGACAUCAUUGUGUAGGUACCGGUGGUCGUCCUCAUCCAUGGAGGAUUCCUGCUGCUCUGAUUCAAAGAAACAAGUAAGGGGAUCAAUCAAUCCAUGGAGAGAAGGAAGACAAGGAGACACGCACGUACACGUACUGCUGCUAGUAUAUAAAGAAAUCAACCAAGCCGUAUGUGUGUGUGCUUGAGUACGUGUGUGGUUGGGCUCCUGGAGUACACGAGCUAGUGUUCUAAUUAAACUGAAAUAGAGCAUGCCAUAGGAGAGCAACCUAGAGCACAGAGCAUGCCACAAGAAAGCAACCUAGAGCAGAGCAACUAUAACUUGGAAAAAUCUCACAACCGAGAGAGAGGGAUGGACCUAGUUUGUCAAUCUACCAUGCAUCGUUACUCUAUAAUUUAUAGAGCUGGCAGCCUAACAUGCUACUGCCAUCAGCGGUAACCAAUGAAAUUAGAAAAGCACCGAAACUACUAAUUCUAACCAAAGAAGUUUGAGGAACAUAUUUCUCUUUGUUUUACAAUCUGAAAACGGCUAUUCUGGAGUGUGCAGUGGUCACUCAAAAUAAAGAAUACAUAUACCUGACCUGCGAAAAACAACUGGCACAACGCAAUGGUCCUUAAUCGGUUAUCCAUAAUAUAGACAAACAAAUAUGAAUCAGGAACCAAGCAGUUUAAUUGGUUGCAAAUUAAAGGACCCUUAGAAUCCGCUUUUAGAUGGCAAACAAUAAACUAUGGCAAUAAAAAAUCAGUAGCCAAAACCCAUAGGACGGAUAAUAGCAUCAGUCAUUCCUUCAACCAAAGCAUCAUAUAUCAUCGAUCUACAUUAUAAGGAGAACUAUGUAUGAGAAUGUGAACCAGAGUUAUACCCCUUGCAUCAUGUAAUUCUUUGGAGUUAGACUCUUUCAAAAUAUUAUCACACAGGGUGCCCAAAAAUAUAUAUUACCACAAUACAUCUAUUCAUCCAUUAAUAAUGAAAAUACUAAUACAUAACUUCCACCUAGAGUAGCAUGGAAUUGCACAAAUAAUACAUAGCAAGAGAUUCAUUAUUUCAAUGCAUGAUAAGUUACGAAAUAGAUCAUCUAAACAAACAAAAUAAUGUUUGUUUGUGCCACUUAUUAUUACUGUUAUCGUGGUACCCACAAUAAGGUGGAAAUGUUAGCUUAUUCAAGGGGGGCCUACAAACUUCGAUCCCAUGAUGGCUAAAAUGGUUUUGGAUCAAUGAAGCUUACAACUGGUAAAUCAGGUUAGCUAGUAAGUAUGGCAAACGAAAAUCAAAGUAGAAUGAUCCCAAAAUGUCUUUUGUUACACUAUUACAAAGCAAGUUAACCGAUCUUAGAUCUUGUGACCAUGAAUCCAAACCUCUACUGAUUACUCUUAAAUUCAUAUCAAAGUGAAGAGAGCUAAUUAUUAAGUGUGGCGCAUUCAGAGAAUUGAUGUGGCUAUUCAUAAAAUCAAAAUUAAGAUCCAUUCUCUCUAGAAGUAACUAAAAUGAAAGAGGAACAGAGAAUAAUAUCUUGUGCCAGAUUGGGAUUAAUGCACUGAUGAGAGACUCGAACAAUGAAACACAUGCAAAAAUGUUCUCUUGAUGCCCAUUUACUCCUAGGAGUACUACUGAACCUAACUGAAUUUAGGAGUAUUUACAAAACCUAGUAGUACUACUGAACCUAAUCGAACCCAAGUGCAUGUGUGGUGUACUAAAUGUAGGAGCUGCGUGUUUGUACUCCAUGGAUGCAAAUCAAAGGAGUUGGAGCCGUGUGUUUGUACUCCAUAGACGUAUUAUGAACUUUGUAGUCCAUGGGAAAUGAACAUAGCUGCAAAUUAAGAAAAACAAAGCAGUCGAGGAGAGAACGAGCUCACCUAUGAGGUUGCAGCCGAGGCAGUAGCACAGCUCGUCGCUGCAACUGAGCUCGACACGCUACCUCCAUGUGUCCGGCCUUUUCCGCGAGUUACCCCAUGCGUCCAGCCUCCUCCGAGCACUGUCUCCUCACAAACAAGUAGGGGUAGAAAAAACAUGAAUUGUAACUUAUCAACCGAGCGGCAGCAACAAUCAGCGACAGAUCACCGAUCAACAACAGGACACUAACCGAAAAACGCAGCCAAUAGCAAAAUCAGGAGCAGGAUAAAACUAAUAAUAUAAUGAAAAGAAUGCCCACAAGAGAAGCAUGCACAAUCCUAUGAAAUCAGAAUCAAUUAGUUCACCUACUGACACCCAUCUACCAGGAUCAAACAAGGCGUCCAGGAUCAAACAAACAAAGCAAGGAAAGAUACAGCCCCUUCCUUGCAAUCUAGCUAGACUGCUAAUGUAACAACAAAGUUUCUAGAAGAAUCUAACAGCAAUCAUAUAUAAAAAAGCGCAAGUAAAUAUGGUCAUGCAUAUUUUGAAGCCACCAAAGCUAUCCUUAUGUCGAAAAUUGAAAUAAACGAUGGUACAAAGAGGAGAAAUAAUGAAAAUAACAUGAAGGAGUUAGAACCCAGAAAUCAUAUGUAACUAAACUAUGAGAAACCAUGGAUAUUACCUCAAGAAUCUAUAUAGACCUAAGCUUCUCUUUAACAGGCAGAAAACCAAGCAAUGAAACAGAUAGCCUAGCUAAAUCCAAGGAUCUACUUGACGGCAAGGCACCAACAAAACAAGAAAGCCCCCCAAAAGUCCUCCUCUGGAACCUAGCUACCUAAGAAUCUACUGCACAAGAAGAAACCCAAGGCAUUUUUGCUAGCCAGUCCUAACCUAGCCAGUCCUACAAAAUGGUACAUGAACAUAAGAGGGGAAGGAGCUCAACCAGCAGGAGCAUGACCAGUGCGGCCACACGCGGCAGAGGUGAAGCAUAGAUCGCUCGGAAUCGCGUGUGUAAGGAAGAACCCAACAACACGGCACAUGCGAGUAGCACCAGCAAACAAAUCAGUAGGUUACUUCUAGGACAUAGCACCUCGAUCACUCUUUACAUGAACAAUCCAGCAUUAUCUCCUAAAAAACUAUCAACAAAAAUCUUGUAGCAUUAUUAUUUGUAGCAUGUAAGAACAAAUAGCUGCAAAUGGUAACUUGCGAAAAAAUAGAAGUAGUAGUGUCACAACAAAUUAAAACAAGCCAUUCAACCAUUGCGGGGAGCGGGUCAAAGUGCGACUUACUCUUAUAACCAGAUUAAAUCAAGGACCAACAACAAUAUAGAUACAACAAAGUGCGACUGUACGUAUUCUACAAAACACACCACUGCACCAUGUAGAUACAACACAUAUCAAUUAGAAGGGGCAACUUGUGCCCUGUUUAUGAGAGAAAGAAAUCAAAUAAUAUUUGUAACAGUAGAUUGAGAUAUGAUGAGAAUACCUAAUCAGUAAAGCAUCACUACCCAACCAUAAGCAUAAAGGAAGUAAUAUGAGCUGAAAUCUCUGAUGGCAUAAAAAAAUUAGAGCAUGUCUGACAUAUCACUUUGAAGUUACAAAUGGUAAAUAAACUACAACCAAGAAACAUAACAUUAAGUAGCUAGAGAGUAUACACUACUUUCUAAUAGGAAAGAAUGUAAUUUAAUCGGUAAGGUACUGUCACUGUCUCCAACAUGAAAAAACGAAGAAACCUUUUGUAAUCAGUAUCUACCAUGCUCAUGUUUCUUCUGUAUUCAGUACAGUAGCUGCAACCAUGCGCAUAUCACCGAGCAGAAAAAAGAGAGAAGGUUACGGCUUACUUAACAUUUGCCAAUUGAUGCUGCCUGCACCCAUACUUUAUGAAUCUGCUGCUUCUAAUUCUGUUACAACCUGCCACUCCUCAUUAUAUGUUGCCCCAUCAUUUUCCUGCAACGCAUCUAUAUAACAAAAAGCACCACAUCAAGUGAGGUACGAAAAUAGCAGAUAGCAAAGCAACAUGAGAAUAGUAGUCAAGUAUAUUGGCAUACCUUUAAUUCUCAAAUAGUUGAUUGGUUCAUGACGAUGGUUCGAGGAGAAAGCUGCAAUUGAAAAAAUAAAGAUAUUCUUACAAAGAAGGCCCAAAGGUUUAAGCAGGAUAUGGUAAUAAAUAUACAUAAUAUGUAAACUUCAAAACUAUUGCAGAGAGAUAAAUGCGGUUUUGGAAGAAACAUGUUCCUAGAUAGGCAGAGUCUAAUUGUAGUAGCAUAUCAUUGUGAGACGAAUGCACUUUUUUAACUUCUCCCUAGCCUACCCAUGUGGUUCCAGAGGGUAACACAUUCAUUAAAUGCAAACUCGAUAGCAGAAUUUUCCCUCAUGACACAGAGCUUUUCCCAAGUGCACCAUAUAUCCUGAUUUGGAAUGUUCUAAAUCCAAGAAUAUAAUGUAUGAUAGUUUAUCAUCAAUACUGAUGAUAUAGAGACAAAGAUGAGAGCUAGGAACCAUGCCAAUUAGCUUGGAUGGGCUCCCCACUGUUUGAUCUGCUUCAACAUUGCAAAGUGAGGUUCUUCAGUACUUCUCAAGCUUCUAGAUUCCCUGCAGCUGCAACAGGCUCAACCUUAAUUGUCUUCCAUUCAGUACUACCUAAGUGUGUAGGCGAGUGAGGCUUGCAGGCGAUGUAUGAAACAAGUGCAAGACGCUAUAAAAACAGUACUAUGUCUGUAUCUGUGGUAGUAGAUAAAAGUAACAUUAGUAUCAGUACUAAUUCUAAGUAUAUCAGAACAUGCAAAGAACAUAUGUAGUAGUAAUAGCCAGGUAGGCACAGUUGCCAGAUUCGGUGGGUUUGAUUUGGGGAAACAAUGCAUUGGCAAGGCAACAGGCGAGGGAGGGAUGGAUGGAUGGACUUACGAUUCUGUCGAGCUCCCGGGUCUUGCGCAUCAGCUCCUCCUUGAGCCGGGUAUUCUCCUCAAGCUGCGGUGGCGUGGGAGGGGGAGAAUGGAUGAGUGAGUGAGUGAUAUUGGCAGGGGUGAGAAACAGAGAUGGGCGAGGGGAGGGGGGAGGUGUCCUGGUGACGGAUGGUGGCCUCGGCGUCCUCGACGGCGCGCAUGACCUGGAAGAGGUUGUCGGUGCCAGCGGCGUCGUCGGAGUCCUGGCACGCGGUGGCCAGCUCACCGGCGUCGGCCAUGGUGCAGUGAUGGUGAUGCGGGUGGGGUACGGGGAGGAGAUGGGAGCACGGCGAGGGAGGCGAAACCCUAGGGAGGGGAGGGGAGGGGAGGCNNNNNNNNNNNNNNNNNNNNNNNNNNNNNNNNNNNNNNNNNNNNNNNNNNNNNNNNNNNNNNNNNNNNNNNNNNNNNNNNNNNNNNNNNNNNNNNNNNNNNNNNNNNNNNNNNNNNNNNNNNNNNNNNNNNNNNNNNNNNNNNNNNNNNNNNNNNNNNNNNNNNNNNNNNNNNNNNNNNNNNNNNNNNNNNNNNNNNNNNNNNNNNNNNNNNNNNNNNNNNNNNNNNNNNNNNNNNNNNNNNNNNNNNNNNNNNNNNNNNNNNNNNNNNNNNNNNNNNNNNNNNNNNNNNNNNNNNNNNNNNNNNNNNNNNNNNNNNNNNNNNNNNNNNNNNNNNNNNNNNNNNNNNNNNNNNNNNNNNNNNNNAGGAGGGGGCUUUGUUGCGGUGGAUCUGGCCGCUGACGGCCUGGGCAGGCGGGUGCCGCCGGCGGUGAUGUGGCUACGGGAGACGGGAGGGGGGGAGGGGGAGAGGAGGCGCGCGGGAGGGAGGGAGGGAGGCGGCUGCGGGAGGAAGGGAGAGAGGAGGAGGCGGCUAGGUCUCCGCCACAGCAGCGCCCCCCUUUUAUACCCCUGUACGCAGAAUGACGAAAAUGCCCUCGGGGGGCACCGGAAUUACGAGCGGUGGCACGAACGGGGUGAAACUAUUCAUUGCUACACGGCUCCUCUUUGAUCCGACAGCGCAGGUCAUCCAGCGGCUCGAUCCGACGGCCAAGAUCAGAUUAAGCAACCAGAUCCAAUGGCCAGGAAUGCCAAGCGGCUGAGGAGGCUGGAGGAUGACUGGAAUCCUUAUUUCUCAAUUCGUUUGCCCCAUGCGAGUGCAUCCCCCAAAGGCCGCAACCUCUUCUACACCACCGCUUAUGGUUGAAGUUGUUGCCGUCCUCCCCCUGCUUCUUGGACGGUUCGCCUCCGCUUGAGCAUGACUGCGGCGUCCCGCCCAAUUGGCCUUGACAAUGCUCCUCGGCCUCAGCUAAAGCCACUGGCCCGUUCCACUGAUGUUUAGAAUUGCUGCUCAUGCAUCUGCUUGCCACUUUGCUGACAAUGCUACUCGUCGACCCGUGCAACUCUAGCAUGUUGGCUACUUGUCACGUGCCUCUUGGACCAGAUAGUUUCUAAAUCGAUGCAUUGAAGUUAAACUACAUAGUUGACCUUUUAAGUUUGGGAGCACUUGUUCAGGUAGCUAAAAACUGGUUUUGUUUCAGUUGAUUUGCUCUUCCUCUUUCAACUAUCUUAUUUAAAUCCAAAGCCUCAUGUUUUUCAUCCUCCUGCCAUCGAAGCGACAAUGUUCUUUUUGAUGGAAAUAUGCCCUAGAGGCAAUAAUAAAAUGGUUAUUAUUAUAUUUCCUUAAUCAUGAUAAAGGUUUAUUAUUCAUGCUAGAAUUGUAUUAAUCGGAAACUUAAAUACAUGUGUGGAUACAUAAAUAAAUACCAUGUCUCUAGUGAGCCUCUACUAGACUAGCUUGUUGAUCAAAAGAUGGUUAAGGUUGCCUAACCAUAGACAUGUGUUGUCACUUGAUAACGGGAUCACAUCAUUAGGAGAAUGAUGUGAUGGACAAGACCCAUCUGUUAGCUUAGCAUCUGAUCGUUCAGUUUAUUGCUACUGCUUUCUUAAUGCCAAAUACAUGUUUCUUCAACCAUGAGAUCAUGCAACUCCCGUAUAUCGGAGGAAUACCUUGUGUGCUAUCAAAGGUCACAACGUAACUGGGUGAUCAUAAAGAUUCUCUACAGGUAUCUCCGAAGGUUUCUGUGGAGUUGGCGUGAAUCGAGAUUGGAAUUUGUUACUCCGUAUGACGGAGAGGUAUCUCUGGGCCCUCUCGGUAAUACACAUCACAAGAAGCUUGCAAGAAAAAUGACUAAGGAGUUAGUUACGAGAUGAUGUAUUACGAAACGAGUAAAGAGACUUGCCGGUAAUGAGAUUGAACUAGUUAUGGAGAUAUCAACGAUCGAAUCUCGGGCAAGUAACAUACCGACAGACAAAGGGAAUUACGUAUGUUGUCAUAACGGUUCGAUCGAUAAAUAUCUUUGUAGAAUAUGUUGGAACCAAUAUGGGCAUCCAAGUUCCCCUAUUGGUUAUUGACCGGAGAGGUGUCUCGGUCAUGCCUACAUAGUUCUCGAAGCCAUAGGGUCCACACUUUUAACGUUCGUUGAUGAUAUAGUGUUAUAUGAGUUAUAUUAUUUGGUGACGGAAUGUUGUUCGGAGUCCCGGAUUAGGUCACGGACAUGACGAGGAGCUCCGGAAUGGCCCGGAGGUAAGGAUCGAUAUAUAGGUCGAUGAUAUUUGGACACCGAAAGAGUUUUGGGAGGUACCGGGUAGUCAUCGGAUCAUCGGAAGUGGUUCCGGGAAGCCCCGGGAGGCUAUAUGGCUUAAUGGGCCAAAGGAGGAACACACCAGCCCACAAGGGGCUGGUGCGCCCCUCUCCCUGGCCGCCGGCCCUAGGGGAAGGAAAGGGGGAGGGUUGGCCCCUCCUUCCUUUCNNNNNNNNNNNNNNNNNNNNNNNNNNNNNNNNNNNNNNNNNNNNNNNNNNNNNNNNNNNNNNNNNNNNNNNNNNNNNNNNNNNNNNNNNNNNNNNNNNNNNNNNNNNNNNNNNNNNNNNNNNNNNNNNNNNNNNNNNNNNNNNNNNNNNNNNNNNNNNNNNNNNNNNNNNNNNNNNNNNNNNNNNNNNNNNNNNNNNNNNNNNNNNNNNNNNNNNNNNNNNNNNNNNNNNNNNNNNNNNNNNNNNNNNNNNNNNNNNNNNNNNNNNNNNNNNNNNNNNNNGGGGGGGCACCUCCCCCUGCCUUCCUGCCGCGCACAUACAAGGAAAGGGGGCGGCCAAGGGCAGGAGCCCAAGAGGGAUUCGGCCAUCCUUGGGGCACCUCCUGGCUGCCUCCCCUCUCCCGCACCUAUAUAUAUGUGGGAGGGGGCGCCAUACAAGGACCACGUCGAUCUCUUAGCCGUGUGUGGCACCCCUCUCCAUAGUUUCAUCCAUCGGUCAUAUUUUCAUAGUGCUUAGGUGAAGCCUUGCGUAGAUAGCAUCACCACCACCAUCACCACUUCGCCCGUCUUGCUGGAUCAAGAUGGCGAGGACGUCACCGAGAUGAACAUGUGCUGAAAGCGAAGGUGUCGUACGUUCGGUACUUGAUCGGUUGGAUCGUGAAGAAGUUCGACUAUAUCAACUGCGUUAAUAAACGCUUCCGCUUACGGUCUACGAGGGUACAUAGACACACUCUCCCCUCUUGUUGCUAUGCAUCUCCAUGGAUACAUCUAGCGUGUGCAUAUAAUUUUUUUUGUUUUCCAUGCAACGUUCCCCAACACUUCUUCCUCACUGAACCUAUGAUUUCUCUCCCUCCUAUUGAUAAUCCCCAAGUGCAUGGAAUCAUAGUAGCAAUUCCCAAAGGUGGAAGUGAUAAGUAUGGAGUGUCGAACCCACAAGGAGCUAAAGGUAAGAUCAAUAUUCUCUCAAGCCCUAUCUGCCACUGAUACGACUCUACGUGCACCGAACCUUUGCUUCCAACUAGCAACGAGAAAUAAAACUAUGUUGUGGGUAUGUAGAGGAUAACUUUGUAUGAUAUCGGAGAGCUAAAACAUAAAAGUAGGUGUUGUUAUCAUAAAGUUAGAAUAUAAUACUAAAUAUUAUAAAUAGCGAGUGUGGAAUAAUGGUGGAUCGGUGUGCGGAAUUGUCCUAGGCAAUAGUUAACAAGACCGAUAAUCACUAUUGCAGUUUCAUAUGAGGGAGAGGCAUAAGCUAACAUACUUUCUCUUCUUGGAUCAUAUGCACUUAUGAUUGGAACUCUAGCAAGCGUCCUCAACUACUGAAGAUCAUUAAGGUAACACCCAACCAUAGCAUUAAAGCAUCAAGUCCUCUUUAUUCCCAUACACAACAACCUACUUACUCGGAUUUGUGUUUUAGUCACUCACGCAACCCACUAUAAGCGAAUCAUGAACGUAUUGCAACACCCUAUAGCGGGAAUCCCUCAUGCUUGCGCGACACGGAGGGCACCAUAGGACAGCAUCAAAGUAAAACAUACAACUCAUACCAAUCUAAAUCAUCAAUCAACCCAAAGGCAAAAGAUAUCUACUCAAAACAUCAUAGGAUGGCAACACAUCAUUGGAUCAUAAUAUGUGGCAUAGAGCACCAUGUUCCAGUAGGGAUUACAACGGGGUGCGGGAGAGUGGACCGCGUAAAAGAGAUGAGGAUGGUGAUGAUGAUGGUGAUGUUGAUGAAGACGAUCACCGCGGCGAUGAUUCCCCUCCCGAUGGCACUCCGGUGCCACCAAGAGAGAGCAGGAGAGGUUCUCCCCCUUGUGCUUCCUCCUCCAUGGCUUUCCCCCUCUGGUCCUUGGCCUUCAUGGUGAUGAUGGCCCCUCCGAGAUCCUCCUCCAUGGCCCCCGGUGAUGAUGGCCCCCUCCAGCAGGGUGCCGGAGAGGUCCUAGAUUGAUUUCUCAUGGCUACAGAGGCUUGCGGCGGGGGAACUUAUGAUCUAGGUCAAUUCCCGAAGGUUUCUGUAUUUAUAGGAAUAUUUGGCGUUGGUUUCACGUCAGGGGGGUCUCUGGGCUGUCCACGAGAUAGGGGGGCGCGCCCUAGGGGGGGCGCCCCCCCACUCUCGUGGGCAGCCCGGGACUCUUCUGGCCCAACUCUGAUGCUCCGUGGUCUUCUUUUGGUCCAUAAAAAAUCCUCAAAAAUUGGCACGUCAAUUGGACUCCGUUUUGUAUCCCUUUUCUGUAAAACACAAAAACAAGGAGAAAACAGAAAUUGGCACUGGGCUCUAGGUUAAUAGGUUAGUCCCAAAAAUCAUAUAAAAUGACAUAUAAAUGCAUAUAAAACAUCAUAGAUGAAUAAUAUAAUAGCAUGAAUACUUCAUAAAUUAUAGAUAUGUUGGAGACGUAUCAGCAUCCCCAAGCUUAAUUCCUGCUCUUCCUCGAGUAGGUAAAUGAUAAAAGAAAUAAUUUAUGAAGUGUGAAUGCUAGCAGGUGGACAAGUUUGAUUAAUGAUUAUUUCAAUCACCUUUUCUAGCAUCAAAAUGUGUCAUAAUAGUAGCUUAUCUCAUAAAACUUUUCAUGAUCAAGUAACAAUCUAUUCACAAUGUCAAGUAUGGUUCAGAAACUUCAUUGAGAACUAACAAACUAUAAUCUCAGUCAUUUAAGCAAUUGCAAUUUAUCAUAACAUCAGAAAGAGUCAAGAAUAGAGCUUUUUAGCAAGUCCACAUACUCAACUAUCAUAUAGUCUUCUACAAUUGCUAACACUCACGCAAUACUUGUGGUUAGGGAGUUUUAGCCAGACACUGAGAAAGAUAGGGGCUUAUUGUGUUGCCUCCCAACGUAUUCACCUUUAGGUGAUGUCAACUAUAAUAGCCCAUGCUAACUUACAUCCAAUUGGAUAUAUAUAUAUAUCAUGAUCUUUCAAACACAAGGAGCUUGCCAAAGGACAAAAUGAAAAAGGGAAAGGUGAGGAUCACCUUGACUCAAGCAUAAAGUAAAAACAUAAAGUAAAAGAUAGGCCCUUCGCAGAGGGAAGCAGAGGUUGUCUUGUGCGUUUAGGGUUGGAUGCAUAAAAUCUUAAUGCAAAAGAACGUCACUUUAUAUUGCCCCUUGUAUGUUGACCUUUAUUAUGCAGUCCGUCGCUUUUAUUGCUUCCACAACAAGAUCAUACAAAGCUUAUUUUCUCUGCACUAAUAAGUCAUACAUAUUUAGAUAGCAAUUUUUAUUGCCUGCAACAUGACCACUUGAAGGAUCUUACUCAAUCCAUAGGUAGGUAUGGUGGACUCUCAUGGCAAAACUGGGUUUAAGGAUAUUUGGAAACACAAGUAGUAUCUCUACUUAGUGCAAGGAAUUUGGCUAGCAUGAGGGGGAAAGGCAAGCUCAACAUACUUGGAAGGUCAAUGACAAUAUACUUUAACUGAGAUGUGAGAAAACACAAAUCAUUAUGUUGUCUUCCUUGUCCAACGUCAACUCUUUUAGCAUGUCAUACUUAAUGAGUGCUCCCUAUCAUAAAAUAUGUCCAAGAUAAUAUAUUUGUAUGUGAACCUCUCUUUCCUUAUUACUUCCUAUUAAUUGCAACGAUGACCAAAACUACGUUUACCAACUCUCAACAACUUUUAUGCCUCAUACUGUUUAUAUGUGAAGUCAUUACUAUCCAUGUUAUAAGCAUAAUAAAACAUAUAGAAAUUCAGAUUCAUGACAUUCAAUUCAUUCCCCCAUUUACUCAUAGGAUGAACAUGAAGCACAUGAGUAAAUGACAAACUACUCCAAAAGAUAUGAGUGAAAGACAUGGAGUAGUCAAAUAAUUAACUAGCCAUGGGAGGGUUCCUUUUUUAUUCAAUAUUCAGAUCCAAUGAUUUUAUUCAAACAGCAAGUAAAAUCGAAAACACGCUCCAAGCAAAACACAUAUCAUGUGACGAAUAAAAAUAUAGCUCCGAGUAAGAUGUACCGAUAGUUUUGAAGACGAAAGAGGGGAUGCCUUCCGGGGCAUCCCCAAGCUUAGGCGCUUGAGUCUUCCUUGAAUAUUACCUUGGGGUGCCUUGGGCAUCCCCAAGCUUAGGGUCUUUCCAGUCCUUACUCUACUCAUAUUGAUAUCUCGCCCAAAACUUGAAAACUUCAAUCACACAAAACUUAAUGGAACUUCGUGAGAUAGGUUAGUACGAUAAAGAGUAAACCAUGCACUUUGGUACUGUAAAAGACAAGGUUAAUAAUUGUUUUCACAUAAUGCCUACUGUACCAUAUCAUUUCUACAAUUUAUAUUGAGAAAUAUAAGCCAUAGAAACUAGAAAACAAGCAAACUAUGCAGUGAAAACAGAAUCUGUCACAAACAGAACAGUCUGUAAUGAUCUGAGCAAUAACCAUACUUCUGCUACUCCAAAAAUUAUGAAAUAAAUUGGUGGACAUGAGGAAUUUGUCUACUAAUAUUCUGCAAAAAGAAUAAACUCAAAGGCACACUUCUGUAAAAAAUGACAGCUAAUCUCGUGAGCGCAAAGUUUCUAUUUUUACAGCAAGAUCACAUUAACUCUCACCCAAGUCUUCCCAAAGGUCUUACUUGGCACUUUAUUGAAACAAAAGCUAUAAAACAUGAUUACUACAGUAUCUUAAUCAUGUAGACACACAAAAACAGUCAGGAUAAAUAUUGGGUUGUCUCCCAACAAGCGCUUUUAUUUAAUGCCUUUUAGCUAGGCAUGAUGAUUUCAAUGAUGCUCGCAUAAAAGAAAAGAGUUGAAACACAAAGAGAGCAUCAUGAAGAAUAUGACUAGCACAUUUAAAUCUAACUCACUUCCUAUGCCUAGGGAUUUUGUGAGCACACAACUUAUGGGAACAAGAAUCAACUAGCAUAGGAAGGCAAAACAAGUUUAACUUCAAAGCUUAAAGCACAUAGAGAGGAAACUUGAUAUCAUUGCAACUCCUACAAAUAUAUAUUCCCCCCUCAUAAUAGUUUUCAGUAUCAUCAUGGAUAACAACCUUUUUUCUCAUACUAAAUUGGAACCUCUUCCGAAAUAGUGGAAUACUAACUAAAGUUGACACUCUUCCAAAUCCACUUUCAUGAAUAUCGUACAAAGAUUCAACACCCUCCAAGAUAGUGGGAUCACUAAUUCCUAAAGUUGACACUCUUCCAAACCCACUUUAAAUUAUAGUACUAUUCAUACUCCAAAAGAUAUAAGUGAAGUUCCUGGAGCAUUCUAUAAUUAAUAUAGACUAGCCAAUAUCCAAGCUCAAAAUAUAUAAGUGAAGCGCACGAAGCAUUCUAUAAAACCAUACUCAAACGAUAUAAGUGAAGCACAAAGAGCAAUUAUCUAAGAUCAUACUUAAAAGAUAUAAGUGAAGCUAAUGAAGUAUAAAUCAAUGAAGAGCUAUCUCAUAAUAUCAUGAUUCUUGAAGAAAAAUAAAAACACAAAGGACACGAAUCGUGUGAACAAAGCAAAAACCGAGGUAUACCGAUAUUUGUUGAGGAAGAAAGAUGGGAUGCCAACCGGGGCAUCCCCAAGCUUAGAUGCUUGAGUAUCCUUUAAAAUAUUUACUUGGGGUGCCUUGGGAAUCCCCAAGCUUGAACUCUUGUCUCUCUUUAUUCUUCUCACAUCAGUAACUCCUCGUUCUUCAAACACUUCAUUCACAAAAACUUAAAAAAAACUUGUGAGAUCCGUUAGUGUAAUAAAGCAAACUACCACUUUAAGGUACUGUAAUUAACAAUUUCUUUAUUUUUAUUGGUGUUAAACCUACUGUAUUCCAACUUCUCUAUGGUUCAUACCCUUACAUACUAGCCAUAGAUGCAUCAGAAUAAGCAAACAAUACACGAAAAACAGAAUCUGUCAAGAACAGGACAGUCUGUAGUAAUCUGGAAGUUCAGUAAACUUCUGUAACUCCAAAAAUUAUGAAAUAAAAUUGAAAAUUUGAAAUAUUUGUACAGAAGUAAUGUGCAAAAAGUUUCAUACCCAUUUGUCUUUCCAGUAAAAAAUGUAAAUUCAUGCACUACAGCCAAAGUUUCUGUUUUUGUUCUGCAUAUAGUAAGCAAGCAAUCUUAUCAUACGAAAACCAAAGCUUGGCACACUAUUUUUAUAUUAAAAAGGAUAUAUACAAGGGUAUAAUUAUUUACAGAGAAACUUUCAUGAAAAAUUCUACAUUUUUUCCGUGAGCAUGAACUCAAGUGCUCAAGGUCGACCCUCACCUCUUCAAUGCAUAACUUUCCAAUCACUUCUCUUUUUGAAAAACAUUUUUAGGCAUGACAGGCAAGUAAUUCUUUUUUUGUAUUUUCAUUCUUUUUAAUUUUUUUGUAUGUUUCAUCCACAACUAAACAUAAACAAAAAGGGAAAAUAAAAUCUACUUAGUGAAGAAAGCAAACAAGCACACACGAGAAUAUCAACCCCACGCUAUCACUCCCCGGCAACGGCGCCAGAAAAGAGCUUGAUAAUCCCCAAGUGCAGGGAAUCAUCGUAGCAAUUCCCAAAGGUGGAAGAGAUAAAUAUGGAGUGUAGAAACCACAAAGAGCUAAAGGUAAGAUCAAUAUUCUCUCAAGCCCUAUCUGCCACUGAUACGACUCUACAUGCACCGAACGUUUGCUUCCAACUAGCAACGAGAAAUGAAACUAUGUUGUGGGUAUAUAGAGGAUAACUUUGUAUGAUAUCGGAGAGCUAAAACAUAAAAGUAGGCGCUGUUGUCAUAAAGUUAGUAAAUAAUACUAAAUAUUAUAAAUAGCGAGUGUGGAAUAAUGGUGGAUCGGUGUGCGGAAUUGUCCUAGGCAAUUGUUAACAAGACCGAUAAUCACUAUUGCAGUUUCAUAUGAGGGAGAGGCAUAAGCUAACAUACUUUCUCUUCUUGGAUCAUAUGCACUUAUGAUUGGAACUCUAGCAAGCAUCCGCAACUACUAAAGAUCAUUAAGGUAAAACCCAACCAUAGCAUUAAAGCAUCAAGUCCUCUUUAUUCCCAUACGCAACAACCUACUUACUCGGUUUGUGUUUCAGUCACUCACGCAACCCACUAUAAGCGAAUCAUGAACGUAUUGCAACACCCUACAGCGGGAAUCCCUCAUGCUUGCGCGAUACGGAGGGCACCAUAGGACAACAUCAAAGUAAAACAUACAACUCAUACCAAUCUAAAUCAUCAAUCAACCCAAAGACAAAAGAUAUCUACUCAAAACAUCAUAGGAUGGCAACACAUCAUUGGAUCAUAAUAUGUGGCAUAAAGCACCAUGUUCAAGUAGGGAUUACAGCGGGGUGUGGGAGAGUGGACCGCGUAAAAGAGAUGAGGAUGGUGAUGACGAUGGUGAUGUUGAUGAAGACGAUCACCGCGGCGAUGAUUCCCCUCCCGAUGGCACUCUGGUGCCACCAAGAGAGAGGAGGAGAGGUUCUCCCCCUUGUGCUUCCUCCUCCAUGGCUUUCCCCCUAUGGUCCUUGGCCUUCAUGGUGAUGAUGGCCCCUCCGAGAUCCUCCUCCAUGGCCUCCGGUGAUGAUGGCCCCCUCCGGUAGGGUGCCGGAGAGGGCCUGGAUUGAUUUCUCAUGGCUACAGAGGCUUGCGGCGGCGGAACUUCUGAUCUAGGUCAAUUCCCGAAGGUUUCUGUAUUUAUAGGAAUAUUUGGCGUUGGUUUCACGUCAGGGGGGUCUCCGGGCUGUCCACGAGAUAGGGGGCGCGCCCCCACUCUCGUGGGCAGCCCGGGACUCUUCUAACCCAACUCCGAUGCUCCGUGGUCUUCUUUUGGUCCAUAAAAAAUCCUCAAAAAUUGGCACGCCAAUUGGACUCCGUUUGGUAUCCCUUUUCUGUAAAACACAAAAACAAGGAGAAAAAAGAAACUGGCACUGGGCUCUAGGUUAAUAGGUUAGUCCCAAAAAUCAUAUUAAAUGACAUAUAAAUGCAUAUAAAACAUCAUAGAUGAAUAAUAUAAUAGCAUGAAUACUUCAUAAAUUAUAGAUUGGAGACGUAUCACCUAUCCUUAGCUGAUUUGGCUGCCUCACAUUCGUUGAGUACUCGUCUGAGAAAUUACCAACGACUUACUUCUUGUUGCAUUGCUUCAAGAGAUCUUGGAUGAUAGGUCCAUAGUCCGAGAUUUGCACACCACUCGGUGGUGGAUGGUUGACUUGAUCAGUAUAACCAGGCCAUCGGUUGCAUUGGUCUUGCAUGGUACCUCCAUUGGUUACCAAGAGAGCCUUGGAUGUGGCGUUAUGUGACUUCCAUUAUGUUGUUGUAGUACUCUACAAUUCUACCCGAGAGUCGGUCCUCCGAUUGAUCUGUUCCAAUUGAUGCAUCAACUGACAUGUUUGUCCAAGCAUUACACAAUGCAAUAUAUUAAUCUUGGCAAUACUUGUGAGUCCUAGAUAUUGAUGGUGCCCUCGCGCUUGUUGUGACUCCAUAGAACUAUCAACAACUUCUGGAUCCUCCUUGGCGUCGGCCUCCACUUUUGGCUCAUAAUCCUCCUCGGGGUCUUCUUGUUGAUCAGACACCGAGUUAUAGUUGAGAUCUUCAAGCCCAAGCAUAUGUGACUCCUCCAAAGAUGAACAAAGUUUGUUUGUGUUCUUCUCCGCACUAUGACAACAAGCACAUCACCCUAGGGCCGCAAGCAAUCACCAUAAAAUGCACCGAUCGAUAUGCAAAUACAUUUAUUUACCUUGAUGGCAUUUGUUUGACCACUUGGUGGCCACGACCCUUGGUGAUGGCAGUGGCGGCCGGACGAGAAACCGUAAGGGUGGCCGAAGAUGUGGUGCGAGGCACCAGAGGCAUCUUAUUCUUAUUAUCCUCGCCAUAUCCUCGGUGAGCGCUGACGCGGGUCUCAUCGACCUCCUUGCCCGCUUGUCAGAGGCUGGAGCAGUGGGAGGGCUGCCUCACGUCUUCAAAGAAGCAGUGGUCUUUCCACCGACCUUGCUACCGGCGAUGCUUGCCUGUGUGGUGGCAUGUGUGGGUUUUAAGUGCCUAGCUUCUUCCUUGUUGUGGGCAGCGGCACAGGGCUCAUUUCCUGAUGCGUCGCGCUGGCGGUGGUGGGGGUCUUACAUGUCCAUCAUUUUGUCCUCGGGUAGGUAGCCGUGUCCGGCCUUCUUGCCGAUGGCGUUUGCACUGCACUCGCAGGUCUUCCUCACAUUCGUCUGCAACUUGACAUGAAAAUAUUUCUGCCACAUGCCAAAGUGGGACUCGACAUAGAGAAAAGCCUCACACAAGGUGAUGAAGCAUGCAAUGUGAAAGAUAGCAAUGAGGGAAGGUAGUGGACUUUGAAGUAGUAAAAAUGCAGCAAACCCUAGAAGGACAGAUUUAUCAGAAAAGCCCAAUCCGUGAAUCAAAAAAGGGAUGAAAUUGACACUCUUAUGCGGAUCAGGCUAUGGGUACACCUCUUCUCGGGCGUCGCCAUUCUCGGUCACGAUGAUGGGAGAGCACGCGAGGACCACGAUAGCUGCGGAAGAUACCCAUCUGCGGCAAGGCGGUCCAACUGGCCACGCUAGUGGAGGGCAUCCAUUUUCCCUUUGUCUUGGAGGUGACCUUGGCUACAGCAGUGACAAUCUCCUUUCCAGUGUUGACCAUCUUUCCAUCCAUGGUGAGCUUGUAGCACAUGGCGGCACGGUGGUGAUGUUGGGUUGUGCUAGAGCGAUGGUGCUAUGGCACAGUGAAGUAGCAGGACAAUGACAUGGCGCAAAAGCGGUGGAGCUGUUGUUGUGCCAGGAAGAAGAUGAGAACAAGGGAAACAAUAGCAUGAGCUCCCCCUCGCUCCAUCCAUUCCCUUAUAUACGAGGGUGGAAAUGUGAAAUGGCGACAUGCAAUCAACGCCACCCAGUGGUAAAUCUCUUCAUACCCCCGCGAUGGCGCUAAGUGCACGUGGGGAUUGAGGUGACUCUGUUAAGUGCGUGCGAGAAUCAGGCAUGCUUCCUCUGUUGAUGCAUGGGACGUGGCGUGGGUGGGACCUAUACCCACUCAUGCACGUCACAUUGACCGCUAGGUCAAGUCUGACACAUGGUCCGGUGGGACCAACUGAUGAGACAUGUCUGCUCUAACAGGACUGUACAGUUUGAACCAUAAAGACGCUAUGCGGGAAUUCAACCCAUGAGGAGCAGACUGCGCGGGAAACAUUUUCGGCACAGGUAGGCUAUCUUCAUCAAUGGCUUAAGACCGAGGUUAAUUACGCUACCCCAAAGGCGGUCUGGCAGCUUGAGACCUAUUACGUGAAGAUGUUGUUAAUUAGGGAGGCUUGGAAGAACAAGUUUCAACCUCGACGACCUAAAGACAAUGUGCAACUUGGUGUUGGCAAGCUUGAACACCAAAUUAGGGCUACUGAUGGUGUCACGGCCCAGGGGUACCUCACCAUGUCAGUUCUCGCCCUGGUGGAGCCCUAGGUCGAUUUCAUCCUGGCUCACUUUGGGCAGCCCAUGACAUUUAGAUGGAAGACUCCGGACGACUUAAUGUGCAAGACAAGUGUACUUGAACUGAGGAGGAGUCUACCUCCACCGAUCUAGUCGACUAGGAUCUGUAAGCCUAGGACCCCUGGUAUGUUGUAUAAGCCGGGGUCGGGUUCGUCGAGAGAUCAUCAGGUAGGUUCCCCUUUGGUAUAUCAUAUCUAAAGCUAAUUUGAUUGAUUUACAACGAUCCUUUUUUGCAUGAGUAUAGGGAUUCAUUUAACCAUGGGGCUCGUAGCUUUGCCAAGGUGGCCACGCGAUAUUGGUUCGAUAUCAUGUAUGGCCACUCUAGCCAGCAUCUUUGCUUGUAUCCUGAACAAUCCUAGAUCUAUAAAGAAAAUCAUGAGUGUAGAAUAAUCCCACACCUGGCAGAUCAAGAUUGGUCGAACAUGAUCCUUAUUUAUAGGAGACAUCUAUUUCUCAAUUGACUAAAAUUUAACGCAAAACUGAUUUAUAAAUUUCUGUAUGAAUCUAAGCAAAAUUUACCAUGUUGUAAAAAAUGUGUUCAUCUAGUGCAAAACAGAUAUAGUUUUAACUAAGGCUCCACUGAAUUUACAAGUUUAUUCAUACUGAUUUAAUAGUACUGAGAGUGAUAUAAUAGUUCAUUCAGGCGGAAAUCCAAUUUGGCUCUCGGGUGCACAUGCUCUUGCGCGCGAAAAUAAUUUGGAAAUGUCAAAACAAAUCCAACAAAAAAUUUAUGUGUUCAUAGUCACAUACAAAUGCUACUUACAAAAUCUUAGGCAAAAACUUUAAGCACAGUGAAUAAAAUAAAAUUAAAUACCAAAUAUUAGCAACAAAUGUCACCUAAAAUUCGUUUUUUUUCACCGGCGAAACACUGCCGCUCCGUUCCACAUGAUAAUUGUCAAGGAUGACACUAACACGAACAUCUUCAAAAAGAACCUCAUAUUUUUUUAACGUUUACAUUUUUUUUAUGGUUACUGUUCAUGCAGGAGGAUGUGCUCCCAGGAGCCAAAACGCCUCCCCCGUUGUUCAGGUUAGUUAAGAUAUGCAGUAUUACUCUCAGAGUUGUUGGUUUGAUGGUUAUGUCUAUUGAGCGCUAAGAAAUUAUACGACAAUUGAGAAUUAGGAAAACCACUUUUCAUAUCACAAAAACUUAAAUCGAGAUUUCUAUAAGUUUAUUGAGUUGUGUAGUCCAGCCAAAAUCAGUCUGUAUAAUUUAUUAUAAUUUUCCAUAUCUUAGUAGCAGAAGGUUUUGGCACAUGAAAGUACAUUGUAUCCAUCAUUUCCGUAGCAUUCACCAUUCGCAACAGCACCAUAUGGAACGGUCGCAAUGACUUUUUUCAAAGUUGUAACCACGCCACUCACAGCUAAGCUUGCACAUAGCAACAUUGUUGGGCGUUGGUAUCUGGCAUGCUCGGAAAGGAGUACACGAAGUCCACAAUCCAGUUGUACCUACAAACAACAAGGUUAUAUAGCAUCCCCGUUCAUAUUAGCAUAUGUAGUAUAAGUUGCAUGAGUUUAGAUUAUAUGAAUAUCCAAGGUACAUCAUACAGAAUUGGACUAUUGUAAACAUAAACAAAGAGUGUACCUUUGUUUCUCGUAGUUGCUUGACAUGACCAUAAAGUGCUAGACAUCAUCAGAAGAACUACGAAACAUAUAGCCUAUGUGUUGUUCUUGAUAGGUGCCAUGAGGAGUGGUUUCUUAUUCCUUUUUCCUCCUAUACCUGUAUUCUUUAUGGGCGAUAUCUCUCAACCUAUAUUUCUUAUCGUGUUAUUUAUUAGAGGCAUAAAUCUCGAAG
rnacentral:lncRNA from 1 species